rnacentral:lncRNA from 1 species
UCCGGCGGCAGCAACCCCAACCCGCAGGAGUGGCGCGUGCUGCCCUACUCCCGGAAGCACAUGUCCGGCAUCAAGGAGAUCACCGUGCGCGAGCUGCCCUCGGCCGCCGACGCGCCCCGCUGCGCCGUCACCUCGCAGGUCCCCGCGCUCGUCUUCGCCAUGGGCGGCCUCACGGGCAACUACUGGCACGACUUCAGCGACGUCAUGAUCCCGCUCUACCUCCAGGCCUCCCGCUUCGACGGCGAGGUGCAGCUCGUGGUCACCAACAUCCAGCCCUGGUACGCCGGCAAGUACCGCCACAUCAUCGCGCGCCUGUCGAGGUACGACGUGGUGGACAUGGACAAGGACGACCAGGUGCGCUGCUUCCCGUCCGCCGUCGUCGGCAUCCGCAUGCACAAGGAGUUCAGCAUCGACCCGGAAAAGGAGCCCACGGGCCACUCCAUGCCGGAGUUCACCAAGUUCCUCCGCAACGUCUUCGCGCUCCCGCGCGCCGCGCCCAUGCGGGUCACCGCCAGACUUAUAAGCGACAAGAAGCCGAGGAUGAUGAUCAUCUCGCGGCGCCACCCGAGGAAGCUGGUGAACAUCGCGGAGGUGGUGGCGCUCGCCAAGCGGAUCGGGUUCGAGGUGGUGAUUGGGGACCCGCCGUUCAACGUGGACGUGGGCGACUUCGCGCGCGAGGUGAACGCCGCCGACGUGCUCAUGGGGGUGCACGGCGCCGGCCUCACCAACUCGCUCUUCCUGCCGACUGGGGCCGUGUUCAUCCAGGUGAACCCCUUCGGCAAGAUGGAGCACAUCGGGGAGGUGGACUUCGGGACGCCGGCGGUGGACAUGGGGCUCAAGUACAUGGCCUACUCGUGCGGCAUGGAGGAGAGCACGCUGGUGGACACGCUGGGGCGCGACCACCCGGCCGUCAAGGACCCGGAGUCGAUCCACCGCAGCGGGUGGAGCAAGGUGGCGGAGUACUACCUCGGCAAGCAGGACGUGAAGCUCGACCUCCAGCGGUUCGAGCCCGUGCUCAUCAAGGCCAUGGCCAUGCUCAGAGAGUAGCCGCUCCCUCCGAUCCAGCUUGCAGCCCACACACAUUGUGGUAGAGCUGAUACGCACUAGCAUAGAGCAGUUCCAUUUCUUCUAAUUUAUUCCUAUUAAUUUACAUAUUUUUGUGGAUGAACUGAUCAAAAGGUUUAUACAGCAAGUAUAUAUGUGUUCCACUGAUCCAUCGAGAGAGCAACACGAAUCAUUGAUUAUAGUGGCAUCAUCAACAAUCUCUCCUAGUAAUAAAAAGAAAGAAAUUUUAAGACAGUCCAAAGUAACAUGAACAGUUCUCUUUCCCGUAUAAAAACUGAUUUAUAUGGAGUUGGGCCAGAAAAUGUUCCAACAGGUCCCGUAAACGCUAAUUAUGUGGAAAACGUUAUACGGCGAACGUUUGCUUGGAGCGACUUCCCAGUGCACACCCAAACUUGCCGUUUUAUUGCCAAAGUAACAUGAAUGCUGCAAUGUAAUAUUUGAUAUGUGGAUACAGACAAGCAAUAUGUUUGUGCAGGGAACAAAAAUAUAUACAAUUUUGAUUCAAAUCUUCAAACAUAAAUUAUAGUGCAGUAUCUAGUUGUACAGUUGUUUUUUUGUUGUAUCUACUUGCACAACUACAUAGUUUGAAGUAAGCAGAAAGUUCUUUCAGAUCAAAUUUUCUUUGCACUGCAUAUUAAACUAAUUACAUUAAUACUGGGUCAUGCCCUGUUUGGGCUAGCCACUAUAGGAGCAGUUUGGAUCAUUAUUGAGUAGGGCAUGGGGUGACAUCGGAGAGAAAGAUGGAAGAAAACGAGGCCAUGUUACAUUCCUUUUUUGAUUCAAGGUGAAAUUGAGAUUGUUGAUGGCUUGAUGCAACUAGGUCAAACCCGUGGACUAUCUUAUGGAAAGAAUUUAGAUGUUUCAGUAGAGAACUAGGUCAUGAGUUGGCUGGGAUGUCAUCCAGGGCCCAUCUCCAGCCUANNNNNNNNNNNNNNNNNNNNNNNNNNNNNNNNNNNNNNNNNNNNNNNNNNNNNNNNNNNNNNNNNNNNNNNNNNNNNNNNNNNNNNNNNNNNNNNNNNNNNNNNNNNNNNNNNNNNNNNNNNNNNNNNNNNNNNNNNNNNNNNNNNNNNNNNNNNNNNNNNNNNNNNNNNNNNNNNNNNNNNNNNNNNNNNNNNNNNNNNNNNNNNNNNNNNNNNNNNNNNNNNNNNNNNNNNNNNNNNNNNNNNNNNAGAUUUGGUCAAAGUCAAACUACACAAAGUUUGACCAAAUUUAUAUAGAAAAAUAUGAACGUCUACAAUACUAAAACUAUAUAGUAUGAAAAUACGUUUCAUGGUGCAGCUGAUAAUAUUGAUUUCAUAUUGUGAAUGUUUAUACUUUUUAAUAUAACCUUAGUCAAACUCUACAAAGCUUGACUUUGACCAAAUCUUAUAUGCGGACUAAAAAGAAACGGAGGGAGUACAAAGUGCAAUAUGCUUUUCUUGUAGGCACACACUUCCUUUUCCGUCUCUUUAUUUCUUUUUGUACUAUUUGUAAACCAACUCAUUUAUAUUCCAUAUAUUGUGGGUGAUUUAUGUUGUCAAGCAGCCUCAGAAAUUAACUCAUACUAAUGUUUCACUAGUAGAAAAAGGGUCAUUUGUCCCGAUUCGUAAGGGCCAUUUGUCCCGGUUGCUGAACCGAGACUAAAGGGUCGUUACUAAAGCCCUACACCUUUAGUCCCGGUUCUUACACGAACCGGGACAGAUGGGCCUCCACGUGGCCGGUGAGGCGAGCCCAGACAGGAGGCCCUUUCGUCCCGGUUGGUGGCACCAACCGGGAUCAAUAUGCAUCCGUGCGUCAGCAGCUUGCAGGAGCUGAGGUUUUUGUUUUUUUAAGGGGUGGGUUUUGGGGGGUUAAUUUAGAUGUUUCAUAUAUUGUGUUAGUUAGCUAAUUAAUAGAGAAAAGUGUCCUCUCUUAUCUCCGUGCUUGGUCGACGCUACAUACUAUAAGUAUAGAGAGGACUCGACACGCUAACUAGUAAGUAAAAAUGAAGGAAACAGAAGAUCGUCAUGAACAUAUGCAUACAGAGAGAAGUGAUAUCGACCUCUCCUUCUCCGAGAGAUUGGUCGAACAACAAGUUUUCGUUAUCUAUCCGACGCUAUUGGCUACAUAUAUAUAAUAUAAGAUCUCUUACAAUAUAAUCCCCUAAUUAUAUAUGAACUCAGGGUCCACAUGGUAUUCUCCGUCUUUAUCGAUCACGUGGUCAAGAAAGAAUGCCGUCAAUUCCUCUUGAAUUGCUCGCAUGCGAUCUGGUGCUAGGAGUUCAUCCCGCAUCCGAAACAUCUAAUUUGAAGAAGGGGGUCAAUACAUAUAUAUGAAUGAAUGAAACUCAACACAAAUGAUGGUAAUAAAAUAAAAUUCUGAAUAUUAUUGCUUACGCACUUCAUAUUGGUUUUUAGUGUAGCCCGCUCACAGGUCCUGUGGCGGAUGGACUCGGAAACGUAGAUCCACAGUAAUUAUUCCCGGCUUCCCGCCACAACCACUUUACAAGAAAUAGAGGUCAAUCAAACUGAUAAGCAAGCAUGCUAAAUGGUAUUGAUGAAACUAGCGCUUGAAUCACUAGGAGAUGCGCGGAACAUGCUAGUAGUACUUACUUUCGGGUGUUUAAAUUGCAGCUUCUUCGACAGUCCCGGAGCUUUUGAGAUGAUUUUUUUUCCAAACCCUGCCAGACAAAGAAAACAAUUACUUUAUUAUUUCUUCUUCUUCUUCUUCACCACACAUGUGUGGGUUUAGUUAAUUCUUUCAAGCUUCUUGUUGAAGAGAUUGAUUGGAUAGGAAGCUCCUCCUCGUUACCCGAUUCAUCAUAAUAAACACUAGGAGGGUAUUGGGAAAUAUUUUCCCUUUCAUUAAUACUCUAUCCAUAUUCAAUUUAUUUUCUUGUCUUUGGGUAGUUGAUAAUAUAAGAAUUCUCAAUGCAAUUUACCGCACAAAACAUAUAAAUUUCCACUAGAUCAAAAUCAAGAAAUCUCUCGGGAUUUGGAAAACCCUUAGUUAUACGUUUCAUUUCUUCAUAUCCCAAAAGAAGACUAAGCUCUUUAUGAUGCUCAAGGGAAAUCAAGUUAUCACUAUUUUUGGACAUGAUUUGAUCAUGAAACAAUUUGCAUUGGAGAUUUAAAUGACCACGUUCAUUGCAAAGUUCACAAGGAUGGCGAAAAAAAUUACAUCUUUCAGCACAAUCAUCUAGCCUCUCUUGCAACUUUUUCGUUUCUAAAUAUUUAUGCUUCUUACAAAAUCUAUCUUCCCUUCUUGGUGUGCAAUUACACUCCCAAUUGACUCCGCAAAAAUUGACAUGUUUAUAAGAAACAUUUUUGUCAUGACUUGUGCAAUCAUCAUUAGCAUUUUGGAUAUUCAAAGAAUUCAUACUAACAACAUUGCAAUCAUGCUCAUCAUUCAAAUAUUUUGUGCCAAACAUUUUAUUGACUUCUUCUUCUAACAAUUGAGCACAAUUUUCCGAACCAUUAUUUUCAAGAAAGAUAUUAUAAAGAUGAUCAAUAAUAUGAUGCAACCUCAAUUCCAUUUUUAGUUUUCUUUUAUAAAUCAAAAUAGUGAUAAACAAGAAACUAAAAGAUUCAAUUGCAAGAUCUAAAGAUAUACCUUCAAGCACUCACCUCCCUGUCAACGGCGCCAGAAAAGAGCUUGAUGUCUACUACACAACUUUAUUCUUAUAGACACGUGUUGGGACUCCAAGCGCAGAGUUUUCUAGGACAGUAGCAAUUUUCCAUCAAGUGGAUGACCUAAGGUUUAUCUAUCCGUGAGAGGUGUAGGAUGAAGAUGGUCUCUCUCAAAUGACCCUGCAACCAGGUACAAGAAAUCUCUUAUGUCCCCAACACACCCAAUACAAUGGAAAAUUGUAUAGGUGCACUAGUUCGGCGAAGAGAUGGUAAUAAAAGUGUAAUAUGAAUGGUAGAAAUAUAAUUUUUAUAAUCUGAAUAAAUAAAAGCAGCAAGGUAGCAAAUAGUAAACGGGCACAAAAACGGUAUUGCAAUGCUUAAAAACAAGGCCUAGGGUUCGUACUUUCACUAGUGCAACCUCUCAACAGUGCUAAUAUGAUUGGAUCAUAUAAUCGUCCCUCAACGUGCAACGAAGAAUCACUCCAAAGUUCCUAUCUAGCGGAUAACAUAAGACAGAAUUGUUUGUAGGGUACGAAACCACCUCAAAGCUAUUCUUUCCAAUCAAUCUAUCCUAGAGUUCGUACUAAAAUAACACGAAGCUAUUCCUUCCGAUCGAUCUAACCAAGAGUUCAUACUAAAAUAACACCAAAGCAAAUUCAGAUUCAUAAUAUUCAAUCCAACACAAAGAACUUCAAAGAGUGCCCCAAGAUUUCUACCGGAGAAACAAAGACAAGAACGUGCAUCAACCCCUAUGAAUAGAUUACCCAAUGUCACCUCGGGAAUCCGUGAGUUGAGUGCCAAAACAUAUAUCAAGCAAAUCAAUAGGAUACCCCAUUGUCACCACGAGUAUUCAAUUGCAAGACAUAUAUCAAGUGUUCUCAAAUCCAUAAAAAUAUUCAAUCCGAUAACCACAAAAUCUCAAAAGGAAAAACUCAAUUCAUCACAACAAGAUAGAGAGGGGAAAACACCAUUUGAUCCGACUAUAUUAACAAAGCCCGUGAUACAUCAAUGUCAUGACAUUUCAAGAACACGAGUGAGAGAGAGAUUAAACACAUAGCUACUGGUACAAACCCUCAGCCCCGAAGGUGGGCUACUACCUCCUCAUCGUGGUGGCCGCCGGGAUGAUGAAGAUGGCCACCGGAGAUGAUUCCCCCCUUCGGCAGGGUGACAGAAAGGGUCUAGCUUGGUUUUCGGUGGCUACAGAGCCUUGUGGUGGCGGAACUUCUGAUCUAGGUUAACCCCGAAGGGUUUUGGAAUAUUUGUGAAUUUAUAGGGUAAAGAGGGGGUGCGGGAGGCCACCGAGGUGGGAACAACCCACCUGGGCGCGCCAAGUGCUGCUCUGGCCCAUCCUGGGUGUUCUGGUCCAUCAAAAUUCUCCAAAAUGUUUCAUGGUGUUUGGACUUUGUUUGAUAUUGAUUUUCUGCGAUGUAAAAAAUAAGCAAAAAACAGCAACUGGCACUGGGCACUAGGUCAAUAGGUUAGUACCAAAAAAUGAUAUAAAGUUGCUAUAAAAUGAUUCUAAAACAUCCAAGAAUGAUAAUAUAUUGGCAUGAAUACUUCAUAAACUAUAGAUACGUUGGAGACGUAUCAAGUACCACCCGCAGCGGAAUCUAAAAGAUCUCUAGAAACAAAAUCCAAUCUAGCAGAAAAUUUUUGUAUGAUCAUCCAAGGAUUGAAACCAUGAGUAGGACAAUUUCUUAGCAUCAACUUCAUUCUUUCCCAAGAUUGUGCAACAAGUUCAUUCUCAGGUUGCUUAAAAUUCAUGAUUUGAGUUCUAAGGGAAAUAAUUUUUGCUGGUGAAAAAUACUUAGUGAUAAAAGCAUCCUUGCACUUUUUCCCAAGAAUCGACACUAUUGCGAGGCAAAGAAGAAAACAAUUUUUUUGCAUGAUCCUACAAGGAGAAAGGAAACAAUUUCAACUUCACAAUACCAUUGUACACAUCUUUUUUCUUUUGCAUAUCACACAAUUCUACGAAUGUGUUUUGAUGGGGCGUGGCAUCCUCAUUAGGAGUACCGGAAAAUUGAUCUUUCAUAACAAGAUUCAACAAAGCGGCAUUAAUAUCACAAGACUCCGCACUAGUGGUGGGAGGAGCAAUCGGAGUACUAAUAAAAUCAUUAUUAUUAGUAUUGGAAAAAUCACACAACUUGGUGUUUUCUUGAGGCACCGUGAACACGCAAACAAUAGAUCCGACGGGAAAAAGGCAAAUGGAAAGAAGGCAAAUGAAAAGGCAAUCUUUUGUGAAGUGGGGGAGAUGAAAACGAGAGGGAAAUGGCAAAUAAUGUAAAAUUGCAAGGAGAUGAGAUUUGUGAUUAGGAACCCGAUAGAUGUUGAUGAUGUCUCCCCGGCAAUAGCGCCAACAAUUCCUUUGACAUGGCAUAGAUCUGCGUUGGUAGAUCCUCAAAGACGAAGGGAUGAUGCAGCAUAGCUAUGGCAAGUAUUUCCCUCAGUUAUGAAACUAAGGUUAUUAAUCCAGUAGGAGAACCAAGCAACACUAUGUAAACGGUACUUACACACAAAGAACAAAUCCUCGCAACCCAACGCGUAAGAGGGGUUGUCAAUCCCUCCUCGAUAAAAAGAUAGAUUAAAUCGUAUGUGUUUGGAUAAAUAGAUAUGAAUAAAACACGAAAUAAAAUAAGUAAAGAAAAAGUGCAGCAACGUAUUUUUGGGGUUUUGGAAUAAUAUAUCUAAAAACAAUAUGAUAAAAGAUAGAUCUGAAAGCAAUAUGAUAAAGGAUAGACCCGGGGCCAUAGGUUUCACUAGUGGCUUCCCUCGAAAAAAUAACAUACGUGGGUAAACAAAUUACUGUUGGGCAAUUGAUAGAAGAACAAAUAAUUAUGACGAUAUUCAAGGCCUCGCUACCCCUUCUUUCAGCAACGAUACAUGCAUGCCUCGCUACCCCUUCUGUCACUAGGUGAGGACACCACAAGAUCGAACCCAUCACAAAGCACCUCUUCCCAUUGUAAGAAAAUUCAAUCUAGUUGGCCUAACUAAACCAAAGAUCCAGAGAAGAUAUACGAGGCUAUAACAAUCAUGCAUAUAAUAGAUCAAAAAAACUCAAAUAAUAUUCAUGGAUAGAUCUAAUGAUAAAUUCGAACUUCAUUGGAUCCCAACAAACACACCACAAAAAGUCAUUACAUCAAAUAGAUAUUCAAGAACAUUGUAUUAAGAAUCAAAAACGGGGAAGAAGCCAUCUAGCUACUGCCUACGGACCCAUAGGUCUAUGAUGAACUACUCACGCAUCAUUGGAGAAGCACCAAUGAGGAUGAUGAACCUCUCUGUGAUCGUGUUCCCCUCCGGCGAAGUGCCGGAAUAGGGAUCUCGAUUGUAUCUCAUGGUUCUGGAACUUGCGGCGGCUGGAAUUGUGUUUUGUCGACUCCCCUAGGGUUUCUGAAAUAUUUGGGUAUUUAUAGAGUUGAGAGGCGGUGGAGGAGACCCCUGUCAGUCCCACAACCCAUCAGGGCGCGUCAGGGGCCUCUAUCACGCCCUGGUGUCUUAUGGGCCCCACGGACCUCCCCUCUGGUGCUUCCUUGGCUCCCAAAUUGUCUUCUGGUCUAAAGAAAAAAUCUCCAAAAAGUUUUGCUGCGUUUGGACUCCCUUCGAUAGGGAUAUUCUGUGAAGUACAAAAUAAGCAAAAAAACAGCAACUGGCGUUGGGCACUAUGUUAAUAGGUUAGUCCCAAAAAAUAAUAUAAAAUUGCUAUAAAAUGAUUGUAAAACAUUUAAGAAUGAUAACAUAACAACAUGGAACAAUAAAAAAUUAUAGAUACAUUGGAGACGUAUCAGACGACACGGUGGACGCGUCCCCGGAGGCCAUCCGGCACGACGACGACGACGACUCCACGGCACACCUGUGGUCGGUCGGUGUCUUGUUGAGAAGAAUGACGGAAAGAUGAUUCAUGUUUGAUUGACUAAAUAGACUUCCAUAACCGGACCCGUUCCUCCACUCACAAGUAAGAAGAAGGUGGUCCUACAAGUACUUCGCUCUAAUAAGAUAUAACCACAAGCCCCCUUCAUCCCUAAGAAUCCUCCAAACCCAUAUCAACAUAUAUAAGGGCCAUAUUUAUUUUGUGGGACAUGAGAAUACCCAGACCUCCCAAAGGUACUUGACCACAUGGUACUUCUGGCACCCAUUGACCACCUCCCAUAAGGAAUGCGUACAUCCUUGUCAAAAGGAGCUAUGUUCCACUUAUACAACCCUAUUAUAUACACGAGGAGGCUAGAGAGACACGAGUCGGUAAACACGAACUUACUCACUUGGGAGGUGAAGCUCCCAUAGCCCCGUCUUGGACGCAACCAGCCCUGUUAGUGGGUCAAAACCCCAUAUCUAUACCCAAGAAUCAGACAACGGCAUCCUCAGGUAUGCAAUGGGGAAGGAGGACAACCUACAAUUCAGGUUGUCCACAAUUUGUUACUCCUAAUCCUCCUCCGAAUCCCCCAUGAUCACAACCUUACCCCGAGCCUCACCCUAUGUACUCUACCGACCGGAACGGCAAUUUCCGUGAGAAUCACUAAAUACUUUUUAUUUCAAAAUAAGAAUGUUAAAUGCAUGUGAGGCAUCAUAAAAUGUGCAGAUGCUCAUCCAGAUGAUAAAGAAGAUUCACGGAGCACAUAUGCACCAGCUAGGUCCGCUCGUGUGCAUGCUCCUGGAGUACUUGCACUUUACUAGCUAAAUCGACCGUUCAAUCAUCAGAAGCUUUUCAAAGUUGGGGAAAAAAUUCAAAAUAAACCUUGAACAUGUAGAUGAAAGCUAAUUCAAACCCUAAACUCUUUAUCCCGGAAAUCAGCACACUGAACUCUUCAAUCCCGGUCUAUUUUCAACCUUGAGCGUGUUCCCAAACAGGGAUUGUCGAAGUGGCAUGUCGAAUCCCGGGAUAGUUCAGUGCGCCUGUAACUGGGCCGGCCCAACAUACUCGAACAGAUUUUUCUUUUUCUGUUUCGUAACACGGAAGUAAAAAUACCCAAAAAUUUAUUAAAGUCUGGAGUAAGCGAAUUUGCGCCCAUGAGCUUCAAACUCCACCCGCUAGCCACUAGAAGCAUUGGCUGUUAGUGCUAUAAUUAGUGCCCGAGCAAUUUAACCACAGACCUAUUCGCAAAAAAAAAAACCACAGAUAGUGUCCAGAUUUGAAAAUAUCUUUUAGGGUCAAGCGAAUAUUGGAAACGUGCAGGCCUGAAUGACUUUUUAAAUCUCUGAUUUUCUAAAUUGCAAACACUUUGUGAAAAUUCUGAAUACUUUUUUUAAACGAACAUUUUUUUGAAAACACAAUAAAAUUUUAAAAAGCGAACACUAUUUGGAACAUAAACAUUUUGUUGCAAAAAUGCAACAAAUAAUGAAACCUGAACAAAUUUUAAGUUUUUUAAACAAUGUAAACAACGUUUGUAUAGUUUUAUGAAAUUUAAAAUGUAUAUAUGGCAAAAUGUUAUCCUGUCACAUUUUCGGAAAAUGAUUUUGGAAUUUUGAAAAUUAUUUGCUUUAAAAAUAUUCGUUAUUUAAAAAAAUCAGAUUUUUUAAAGAAAUAUUUCGAAGGUUUUAAAAAAUGUGUACGUACAUAAACGUUCCUGCCUAUUCUUAUAUGCGACGCGCAAUUUAUAAUGACUAGCAGCUGUCAUGGCGAUUGGCUAUGUCGGGCCGCCGCGAGUUCUAGGUCCUUAGCUAGUUUGAGACCUCUCACAAGCUCACUGCUGCUUCUACUUUUGUCGCUCCUAAUAUAUGAAAAGUGGGCUCGUGUAUAUUUUAAAAUAAUGUUUAGUUUCGUUAUAAAAAUGUAAAUGAUUUUUUCAUCAUUACGAAAAUGUAAAGCAAAGGGAAAAAAACAGAGCAUAACAAAGGCGCGAGCGACCGCGCUAAUGGGCCGGCCCGAUUUAUCCUAAUGUCCAGCCAGCCCGGUCAACGAUCCUUGCCAUGUCAGCAAAUACUAGCUAAACGCCUCAAGGUUUAAAAUAGACCGGGAUCAAGAAGUUCGGUGUGCUUAUUUCUGGAAUUGAAAGUUUAGGCUUCGAUUUAACUUUUGUAUACAAGUUCAAGGUUUGUUUUAGACUUUUUCCUCAAAGUUGGGCGCCGGUUGGCAGGCUGUUGUAGUAGUUGAUGCAUGUUAGCAACCCAACGUCCGACACCAAAUGCAAACCAUACCUCCAUGCUAGGGUGCAAUAGUGUAGCGACUUUUCGUGCGGACCGACACCAAAUGAAUUAAUAUCAGAAACCAUGUUAGUUAGCGACCAUAACACAAACUAUAUAGUACCGUACUAGCUUAGCCCGCGCGGCGACACGCCGCGCCUGUCGAUAAGUCGCAACUAUGUAUACUAUGGUCUAAACAAUAGAACAAUGAAUAGUUAUAAAUUAAAAAGUAUGUACGAUAAUUUUGUGUGUAUCUUUUGCUAUCAAUUAAAGAGAAGGACAACAAUAUAUGUAAAAGUUGAAGAUGACAAAGAAGUAGAUUUAUUACAACCAUGCAUAAUGCAUUGCCACCUGGAGUAAAUCAUAUUAUUAGUGCGCUCUUUUGCCAUUAAGCAAGCAGCCCAGUCAACUAACCCUAAUUUAUCUACACCUAAAGCAAUCACAUGUUCAUCAGAUGAUGAUAGGCAUGGAUCAUCUUCCAAAAAUAUAUGCAGAAACAUUCUUUGCAUAUCUUUUUCUGUUCUUAAAAAUAAUUAUACUGCUGUAGGUAUGAUACAAAAUUAAUAAUAUGCAUGAUAGCACCCCCUCUGGUGACCACAUCAUCGAGAUAGUGAAACUUCAUGAAAAGAUAAAUUUGCAAAAACCUUAAACGCUAAAGGUAGUAUUAUCUCAAGAAUGACUGAUACACAUUUUGCACUCAAACAAACAAUACGUGAGUGAUUCCAGAUUUCAGAUUCAGACUGACAUUAUCUCAGGCCUGCUAUAAAGAAAGAAGCUAGAUUUGUAGAUCGGGAUUGCAACUAAAUCUCAGUCGAUGCUAUAUUAGUAGGAUCUUACAUUGAGAUCAAAUUUUUCUGUCUACUUUUUUUUUCUUACAUGUUAUAUCACUUGACAUAGACUUGUUAAGUCUUAGUCGACCGAGACCUAGACACACUCUUUAUAGAUAGCCAGUAGCUUAGUCCUGUUAAAGAGAGAAGCUAGAUUGACCAUUCGCUAUUAAACAUUGAACUUAAUUAGUUUUUUAAUAAUAAUCUUAAUUAGUUCAUACCUUUUACUUGAAUAAUGCCACCUGAGAGCGCAGUUGAUCUCCUCACUCCAAUGAGUUUGCUUUUCCUGCUUCAAUGCUCAAUUUCUCAUUCAUUAGAUUGAGCUCUGCAUGUUGUUGACUAAUAUGGGUACUUGCUUAUAUGGAAGUAUACACAGAUACUACACAGAAACACAAAUACUGCUGAACGACAAAAUUGGAAACUAAUGAGCAGGAAUUAGAUUUCUCCCACUUCAGAAAGGAGAACUCAAAAAAGAGUAGCAUGUCAUCUGGAAGCACAACCACAAACCAAAUAAGCACAUUAGAGAGAGAGAGAGAGAGAGAGAGAGAGAGAGAGAGAGAGAGAGAGAGCAAUUUCUACCUAGCCAAAAAUGAAUAUAUCCAUCAAAUUCAUCACAAUACCUUCUCAAUCUCUCUCCGUCUCUCACAUAUAGCCCACACGACACCAGACGGGAGGCAGGCAACACCCCACGCCCGUCGGUACUGUCCAGUUAUUCGGAACUAAAGGAAUUUAUUCACGAUUAUUGUACAUACAUUGUGUGACUAAAAAGGGAAAUAAACACCCUAGUUUCUAAGGCACUUCACCCUAGUUUUUGUAUUAUCCUAUUAGAAUCGAAGAAUAACCUCUCUGUAAACUAUAUUUCUAGUCUCAGAAGUUGGACAUCCACGAUCAUCCUCGAUCAAAAAUUUAAGCCCACUGCAUGAAGUAACCCGGGACACUACCACAUAUAAUUGUCCAUGCGAAAACACCGGCUCCUGCAAGUAUACGCAUAACUUAGACAAAGUUUGCCCCUGGCUCUUGCUGAUAGUCAAGGCAUAACACAGCCUUAUUGGGAACUGACAUCGUCGGAGUGUGAAAGGCCAUUUAGAACCUGCUGAAUUUAAAACUAUACGUGGAAUGCAUACGCGCUCCCCUUUAUGUGAUCCAGUAAUAAUUUCUCCUUCCAAAACUCUAUCACCCAAUCGCAUAAUAAUUAGCCAUGUCCCAUUACAUAAACCCAGAGAUUGAUUGAUGUUCCUAAGAAGCAUAACUGGAACUCCAACCUUGAGUGAUAUCUUGUGAUGAGGAAAAUUGUUUAUUGUGAUAGAAUUCAACAAUUCUGGAGGAUAAAACAAUUCCACUUCAUCAACAGGAUCAGUAGAUCUUGAUAUGGAAUCAUAGCUCAAACAGUCAGCACAAACACCGGGCACGCGCUUGAAGACGACAUCAUUUAAUUUGUCGACAAUAGAAUUUGUUGGGCAAACAAUAGCACGGCGUGACAAAUAGUCAGCAUCAUUAUACUUCAAAAAGAACACAUCAUAUACAUAAUCAACCGCAGCUUCCAUGUGAUCAAUUGUUGGAAAUAGUAACAUAUCCUCGGGAAUAGAAACCCACGAAGGAGAGGACUCAUCACCUUUUUGCACUGCAUCUCAACAGAUCCAUCGCCAAUACUCUGUACCCAACUUGAAAACAUAGCUAACUCCAACUGUGCUUCACAGGACAACUCAGGAUUACAAAGCCGCAUGUUAGUAUGCAACUUAAGGAUCUUAACAUAAUGCCAAAGUGGGGAAGUAACCAAGGACGCAUCAAUGAUAUCUUCCUUUGUGCCACCUUGCACGACCGGCAAAAUCUGUCUGAAAUCACCACCCAACACCAUAACUUUACCCCCUGAAAUCAUAAAUUUGUCGCCUCCUGCGUUCACGGACACGGUUGGAGCUGCCACAUGGGAUCGUCCAUGAGUCGGCUGCUGGGUUGUCGUGUGUAUAGCAGCGCUGCCCCUGCCCGCCACCGUUAGCGUCCUUGGCGACACCAUCACGCCAACCGCAUCACCAGACAGAUUCAACGUCUUGAGCCCGCCGCAGGAGCCGGCGAGCGCGGCCACAUCGACGACGGAGCCGCGCAGCAUGGAAUUUCCAGUGUGGUCGAGCAACUCGAGCUUGCUGCCGCACCUGCCGCCGGAGCACAUCACUGACGUUGGCCCCCCGGAGGCUGAGAGCGAGAGCGAGAGCUCACGGCGACAGCGCGGAAGUCGGUAUUGAGCAGGACGUCGGAGAGUGAGAGCGACGUCAGGCGCCCGCCCCUGCACACCGUGCCAGGGAACCUGCAGGUGCCGUCGAGCGAUGUCUGGUUGGGCAGCGCCGCCUUGAAGUCGUCCAGCAGCUGCGCGUCAUCGUCGGCCGUUGAUACGUCUUCAACGUAUAUAUAAUUUUUUAUUGUUUUAUGCUAUAUUAUAUCUUGUUUUGCACAUUAUUGGACUUUAUUAUAUACUUUUAUACUUAUUUUUGGAACUAAUCCAUUAACCGGGGCCCAAUCCAGAAUUACUGUUUUUUUGCCUAUUUCAGAUUUUCGCAGAAAAAAAAAUUAAACGGAGUCCAAACGAAAUGAAACCUUCCGGAACGUGAUUUUCGGAACGAAUAUGAUUCAGAGGACUUGGACCCUACGUAAAAAAGCAACCAGGAGCGCAUGAGGUAGGGGGACGUGCCUAACCCACAGGCGCACCCUCCACCCUCGUGGGGCCCACGUUGCUCCACCGACGUACUUCUUCCUCCUAUAUAUACCUACGUACCCCCAAACUAGUAAAUACGGAGCCAAAACCCUAAUUCCACCGUCAUAACUUUCUGUAUCCGUGAGAUCCCAUCUUGGGGCCUUUUCCGAAGCUCCACCGGAGGGGGCAUCGAUCACGGAGGGCUUCUACAUCAACACUAUAGCCUCUCCGAUGAACUGUGAGUAGUUUAUUUCAGACCUUCGGGUCCAUAGUUAUUAGCUAGAUGGCUUCUUCUCUCUUUUUGGAUCUCAAUACAAAGUUCUCCCCCACUUUUGUGAAGAUCUAUUCGAUGUAAUCUUCUUUUGCGGUGUGUUUGUUGAGACCGAUGAAUUGUGGGUUUAUGAUCAAGUUUAUCUAUGAGCAAUAUUUGAAUCUUCUCUGAAUUGUUUUAUGUAUGAUUGAUUAUCUUUGCAAGUCUUUUCGAAUUAUCAGUUUGGUUUGGCCUACUAGAUUGAUCUUUCUUGCAAUGGGAGAAGUGCUUAGCUUUGGGUUCAAUCUUGCGGUGUUUCCUUUCCCAGUGACAGUAGGGGCAGCAAGGUACGUAUUAUAUUGUUGCCAUCGAGGAUAACAAGAUAGGGUUUAUUUCAUAUUGCAUGAGUUUAUCCCUCUACAUCAUGUCAUCUUGCUUAAAGCGUUACUCUGUUCUUUUGAACUUAAUACUCUAGAUGCAUGCUGGAUAACGGUCGAUGUGUGGAGUAAUAGCAGUAGAUGCAGGCAGGAGUCGGUCUACUUGUCUCGGACGUGAUGCCCAUAUACAUGAUCAUACGUAGAUAUUCUCAUAACUAUGCUCAAUUCUGUCAAUUGCUCAACAGUAAUUUGUUUACCCGCCGUAAUACUUAUGCUCUCGAGAGAAGCCACUAGUGAAACCUAUGGCCCCCGGGUCUAUUUUCCAUCAUAUUAAUCUUUCGUCAACAAGCUAUUUCCUUUUCCGUUUAUUUUGCUUUGCAUCUUUAUCAUAAAAAUACCAAAAAUAUUAUCUUAUCAUAUGUAUCAGAUCUCACUUUCGUAAGUGACCGUGAAGGGAUUGACAACCCCUUUAUUGCGUUGGUUGCGAGGAUUUUUAUUUGUUUGUGUAGGUGCGAGGGAUUCGUGCGUGGCCUCCUACUGGAUUGAUACCUUCGUUCUCAAAAACUGAGGGAAAUACUUACGCUACUUUGCUGCAUCACCCUUUCCUCUUCAAGGGAAAACCAACGCAUUGCUCAAGAGGUAGCAAGAAGGAUUUCUGGCGCCGUUGCCGGGGAGUCUACGCAAAAGUCAACAUACCAAGUACCCAUCACAAACCCUUAUCUCCCGCAUUACAGUAUUUGCCAUUUGCCUCUCGUUUUCCUCUCCCCCACUUCACCCUUGCCUUUUUAUUCGCCCUCUCUCUCCGUCCUCCUUCUCUUUCCCUAUUUGCCUCUUCUUUUGUUUGCCUUCUUCCCGUAUGUAUCCUUGUUUGUGUUUCUAUGUGCCUUCUAUUUGCUUGCAUCUUUGCUUGCUAAAAAUCUAUUGAUAUGGAUCCACUUAAAGUGUUCUACUUAGAUCAUCUUCGAUCCUUAUGCGCUCGUGCUGAUACCCCAACUAGCCUAGUUGAUGGGAAAUCUUUAGAUGAGCAUGCUCAUUUUGUGCGUCACCGUUUGUCUGAAAAAGGGAGACUCUUAUGGAAUCAAAUAAACAGAUUACUGUGCUAUGCUUGGAAUCUUUGUGAAAUUUGUGAUUUUACUUGUUGCUCUAAGAACUCUAAAAAACACCUCCCCUACCUAUGUGAGUUUAAUGAUAUUGAAAUCUUAUCUUCUUAUGCGAAGGGUGUUUAUAGUUACUACGAUAUCGAAUGAAUUGAAGAAUUUUUUGCCUUUAAGGGUGCUUAUGAAGUUGCUUCUUUGAUUGAAAAAUAUGAUAUUACUCUCUACGAAUCUGAAAAUUUUGACAUACUUAAAUAUUGCUAUGAAAACUAUGCUCAUAAUGUCUAUGUCAAAGAAUUUAUUGAAAGAACGACUGUUGCUUCGGAAGAAAAUAAUGAUAUGCAUGAAUCUAUAGAUAAUUAUGAUUCCGAUGAUUUGAUUGAAAUAUCCCUUGAUGGACAUGAUGCUUUCUAUUCUUCUGACCAUGAUGCCAAUAUUUAUGAAGAUGGAUUUGCUAUAGUUCCUUAUGUUAAACAUGAGAUCAUUGCUAUUGCACCCAUAUUUAAUAGUUCCAUCGAUGAAAAGCAUGAUUGCAAUGAUGUUAUUAUAAAUUCUCUUAAUGUCAAUUGUGUUAAUGAUAUGCAAAAUCCUAAGCUUGGGGAUGCUAGUUUUGCUAUGACUACUAUUUGUUGCAAUGAUCAUGAUUGGGGUGAUUCUUUUUUUGAUCUUGAAAAUUUAUUUAAGCCCCAUGAUGAAUAUGAGAUUGAUAAUAGUGUUUGCAAUAUUAUUGAAAGUGGGUUUGGAAGAGUGUCAAAUUUAGAUCCCACAUAUUUGGAGAAUGUUCAAUCUUAUGAAGUUUUUGAUAAAAGUGGGUUUGGAGAGGUCGUGACUUUAGUUAAUGUUAAUACCACUAUUUUGGAAGAGUGUCAACUUUGCAUAGAUGUGGAUCUUAUUAAGAAUAUGUUUUGUGAUAGAUACAUUGUUGAAUUUGCUUAUGACCCUACAUGUAAUUAUUAUGAGAGAGGAAAAUAUGGUUGUAGAAAUUUUCAUGUUACUAGAUUACCUCUCAUUAUGUUGAGAUUGCUAUUGUUUCUUUCCGCUUUCUUGCAUAUGUUAGUUUUUGCUUUCCUUGAUAAUUUGUUUGCCUAUAAGAUGCCUAUGCAUAGGAAGUAUGUUAGACUUAGAUGUGUUUGUCACGUGUACUAUGAUGCUUUCUUUGUACUUCAAUUCUUGUCUUUCAUGUGAGCAUCAUUGAAAUAUUAUGCCUAGCUAUAAGGCUUUAAAGAAAAGCGCUUGUUGGGAGACAACCCAAUAUUUUUCCUUUCUAUUAUUCAAUAAAUAAUUUAUCUAGCCUCUAUUUUGGUUGUGUUUUUUGUGUUUAAUUAGUGUUUGUGCCAAGUAGAACCAUUGGGAAGAGGGAAAGUCUUUUUAAUCUUGCUGUAAAAAAAGAAACUUUAGCGCUCACGAGAAUUGCUGCCAUUUUUAUUUGGAAAGUUCUAUUUAGUUAAUUAUUUUUCAAGAUGAUUAAUAGAUAAAUUCCUCACUUCCAGCAAUUUAUUUUAGAAUUUUUGGGGUUCCAGAACUUGCGUUAGCUACAGAUUACUACAGACUGUUCUGUUUUUGACAGAUUCUAUUUUUCGUGUGUUGUUUGCUUAUUUUGAUGAAUCUAUGACUAGUAAAAUAGUUUAUAAACCAUAGAGAAGUUGGAAUAUAGUAGGCUUAACACCAAUAUAAAUAAAGAAUGAGUUCAUUACAGUACCUUGAAGUUUUGUUUUCUUUCGCCAACGGAGCUCACGAGAUUUUCUACUUUAAGUUUUGUGUUGUGAAGUUUUCAAGUUUUGGGUGAAAGAUUUGAUGGAUUAUGGAACAAGGAGAGUCAAGAGCCUAAGCUUGAGGAUGCCCAUGGAACCCCAAGAUAAUCUAAGGACACCUAAAAGCCCAAGCUUGGGGAUGCCUCGGACCACAUGAUAUGUGUUUUGCUUGGAGCGUCUUAUAUUAUUUGAGUCUUUAUUUGUUAGUUUUCCACAAUCAUCCUUUCUGUACACACCUUUUGAGAGAGACACACAUGAUUCAGAAAUUGUUAGAAUACUCUAUGUGCUUCACUUAUAUCUUUUGAGUUAUAUAGUUUUUGCUCUAGUGCUUCACUUAUAUCUUUUAGGGCACGGUGGUGGAUUUGUUUUAUAGAAACUAUUGUUCUCUCAUGCUUCACUUAGAUUAUUUUGAGAGUCCUACAAAACAGCAUGGUAAUUUGCUUUAAUUAUGUUAGGCAUUCAAGAUUAAUAUUAUUUUUCUUAUGAGUGUAUUGAAUACUAUGAGAAGUUUGAUACUUAAUAAUUGUUUUGAGAUAUGGAGAUGGUGAUAUUAGAGUCGUGCUAGUUGAGUAGUUGUGAAUUUGAGAAAUGCUUGUGUUGAAGUUUGUGAUUCCUGUAGCAUGCACGUAUGGUGAACCGUUAUGUGAAGAAGUUGGAGCAUGAACUAUUUAUUGUUUGUCUUCCUUAUGAGUGGCGGUCGGGGACGAGCGAUGGUCUUUUCCUACCAAUCUAUCCCCUAGGAGCAUGCACGUAGUACUUUGCUUCGAUAACUAAUAGAUUUUUGCAAUAAGUAUGUGAGUUCUUUAUAAAUAAUGUUGAGUCCAUGGAUUAUACGCACUCUCAUCCUUCCACCAUUGCUAGCCUCUCUAAUACCGUGCACCUUUCGCCGGUAUCAUACACCCACCAUAUACCUUCCUCAAAACAGCCACCAUACCUACCUAUCAUGGCAUUUCCAUAGCCAUUCCGAGAUAUAUUGCCAUGCAACUUUUCAUCGUUCCGUUUACUAUGACACGCUCCAUCAUUGUCAUAUUGCUUUGCAUGAUCAUGUAGUUGACAUUUUAGUUGUGGCAAAGCCACCGUUCAUAAUUCUUUCAUACAAGUCACUCAUGCAUCAUUGCUAUCCCGAUAUACCACCGGAGGCAUUCAUAUAGAGUCAUACUUUGUUCUAGUAUCGAGUUGUAAUCAUUGAGUUGUAAAUAAAUAGAAGUGUGAUGAUCAUCAUUCAUAGAGUAUAGGCCCAAAAAAAUAUAAAAAGGGACAAUACUACUAUCCUUGUUUCCACACUUGUGCUUCAAAGUAGCACCAUGAUAUUCAUGAUAGAGAGUCUCCUAUGUUACCACUUUCAUAUACUAGUGGAAAUUUUUCAUUAUAGAACUUAGCUUGUAUAUUCCAAUGAUGGGCUUCCUCAAAAUGCCAUAGGUCUUCGUGAGCAAGCGAGUUGGAUGCACACCCAUUUAGUUCUUUUUGUUGAGCUUUCAUAUACUUAUAGCUCUAGUGCAUUCGUUGCAUGGCAAUCCCUACUCACUCACAUUGAUAUCUAUUAAUGGGCAUCUCCAUAGCCUGUUGAUACGUAUAGUUGAUGUGAGACUAUCUUCUCCCUUUUUGUCUUCAUGUAUUGCGUGAAGAUUGAAAAAGUUUGAGAACACCAAAAGUAUGAAACAGUUGCUUGGCUUGUCAUCGGGGUUGUGCAUGAUUUAAAUACUUUGUGUGGUGAAGAUGGAGCAUAGCCAGACUAUAUGAUUUUGUAGGGAUAACUUUCUUUGGCCAUGUUAUUUUGAAGAGACAUAAUUGCUUAAUUAGUAUGCUUGAAGUAUUAUUAUUUUUAUGUCAAUACUGAACUUUUGUCUUGAAUCUUUCGGAUGUGAAUAUUCAUACCACAAUUAAGAGAAUUACAUUGAAAUUAUGCCAAAUAGCAUUCCACAUCAAAAAUUCUGUUUUUAUCAUUUACCUACUCGAGGACGAGCAGGAAUUAAGCUUGGGAUGCUUGAUACGUCUCCAACGUAUCUAUAUUUUUUUAUUGUUCCAUGCUAUAUUAUAUCCUGUUUUGGACAUUAUUGGGCUUUGUUAUACACUUUUAUAUUAUUUUUGAGACUAACCUAUUAACUGGAGGCCCAGACCAGAAAUUGUUGUUUUUUUGCCUAUUUCCGACUUUCGUAUAAAAAGAAUAUCAAACGGAGUCCAAAUGGAAUGAAACCUUCCGGAACGUGAUUUUUGGAACGAACAUGAUCCAGAGGACUUGGACCCUACAUCAAGAAAGCAACCAGGAGGGCACGAGGUACGGGGUGCGCCUACCCCCCAGGCGCGCCCUCCACCCUCGUGGGGCCCACGUUGCUCCACCGACGUACUUCUUCCUCCUAUAUAUACCUACGUACCCCCAAACUUCUAGAUACGGAGCCAAAACCCUAAUUCCACCGUCGUAACUUUCUGUAUCCGUGAGAUCCCAUCUUGGGGCCUUUUCCGGAGCUCCGCCGGAGGAGGCAUCGAUCACGGAGGGCUUCUACAUCAACACCAUAGCCUCUCCCGUGAAGUGUGAGUAGUUUACUUCAGACCUUCGGGUCCAUAGUUAUUAGCUAGAUGACUUCUUCUCUCUUUUUGGAUCUCAAUACAAAGUUCUCCCCCUCUCUUGUGGAGAGCUAUUCGAUGUAAUCUCCUUCUGCGGUGUGUUUGUUGAGACUGAUGAAUUGUGAGUUUAUGAUCAAGUUUAUCUAUGAACAAUAUUUGAAUCUUCUCUGAAUUUUUUUAUGUAUGAUUGGUUAUCUUUGCAAGUCUCUUCGAAUUAUCGGUUUGGUUUGGCCUACUAGAUUGAUCUUUCUUGCAAUGGGAGAAGUGCUUAGUUUUGGGUUCAAUCUUGCGGUGUCCUUUCCUAGUGACAGUAGGGGCAGCAAGACACGUAUUGUAUUGUUGUCAUCGUGGAUAACAAGAUGGGAUUUAUUUCAUAUUGCAUGAGUCUAUCCCUCUACAUCAUGUCAUCUUGCUUAAGGCGUCACUCUGUUUUUAAUUUAAUACACUAGAUGCAUGCUGGAUAGCGGUCGAUGAGUGGAGUAAUAGUAGUAGAUGCAGGCAGGAGUCGGUCUACUUGUCUCGGACGUGAUGCCUAUAUACAUGAUCAUACAUAGAUAUUCUCUUAACUAUACUCAAUUCUUUCAAUUGCUCAACAGUAAUUUGUUUACCCGCCGUAAUACUUAUGCUCUCGAGAGAAGCCGCUAGUGAAACAUAUGGCCCCGGGGUCUAUUUUCCAUCAUAUUAAUCUUUCGUCAACAAACUAUUUCCUUUUUCGUUUAUUUUGCUUUGCAUCUUUAUCAUAAAUAUACCAAAAAUAUUAUCUUAUCAUAUCUAUCAAAUCUCACUUUCGUAAGUGACCGUGAAGGGAUUGACAACCCUUUAUUGCGUUGGUUGCGAAGAUUUUAUUUGUUUGUGUAAGUGCAAGGGACUCGUACGUGGCCUCCUACUGGAUUGAUAACUUGGUUCUCAAAAACUGAGAGAAAUACUUACGCUACUUUACUGCAUCACUCUUUCCUUUUUAAAAAAAAACCAACGCAGUGCUUAAGAAGUAGCAACCAUCGCCGUGAGCGACGCCAGAAAGAGUGCCGGCGCUAUAUCGCCAACCGCACGGGAUCCAUGUAGGAGCACGCUUUACCUUGAGACCAUAAGAGCAGAAGCCGCCGAGCUCACCUUGCAGAAUAUCGUUGCAUCCCUGAAAGAACAGUUGCACGGCCGCUCCCGCCGCCAUUAUGUGCAUGCGCCUCUCUCCGCCAUCCCUCCGCGAGCGUCCUCAUGCACGACUCGUCGACAGAACGCAGCCGGGGGAUCCCCUGUUUCUUCUUUGAUGGAGCGGUCUUUCCACGGGAGCCGAGAUAGUGAGACGACACCGACGGCUCCAGCCGAGGAUGAGACGAACAAUAAUGUCGGGAGGGAGGUGGGAGUGUUCUCGAGACGAUGAGGAUUUAUACACCCGUAAGCGGCGGCCCACCUAUCAUCGUCCAGAAAGUGCUUGACCUAUCAAUCUAUCAUCGCUCCUGAAAUAGAACAACCCAAUAACCUUGUAUGAAAAAACAACCCAGAAAUCCAGCACGCCAAUAAGAAAACGAAUCAACGACGUGGCCGCAACAGAACAAAACAGCAUGGCAGGCAUGCACAUGCAUCCAUCCAGAAACGUCCAUAAGAAUUUACGCAGGCUAGUCAAACCGCCCGUGCAGAAAAGGACACGAAGACAAAGCAAAUCAACUUCUGGAUACGAACCAUGCAUGGAGACCAAUAGGAACUGCCGGCCGUGCCGGCCGUGCAUGCCCAUGCAGUCAACGGGAUACGCUCGCCCACAUAUAGUCGAUUUCGCUACGCACACCAACACAGCCCAUACACACGUUAAGAAAAUUUUCAUCAACGAUCUACGUUCACUAUGUAAGUCUACACAUUAAAAUCCCAAAAUAAUACACGUGUCUAUAAACUCAGAACCAAGAAGUCCCUUUCGAACAGUUGGGUAAACCUCAAUGCGUAAUCUUUUCGUGAUAUGGUGGCUUGGAUACUAGUAGUACAUUCUACAAGGGUACUGUUAGCACUAGCAACCCCUUAAUAGUUCCCGAAACUUGUUGGUGACAUGCACAUAGAACUAGUAGAAUGCCCAUGCGUUGCUACGGGCUACAAUGCAUAUAAAUAAAUCAAACAAAUAAUUAAGGUCGUCUUUAAGGUCGAAGCUCGUUUUUCCCUCGUACGUCCGGGUUUGUUCGGACAUCAAACGGGCGUCCAGUAGGCUCUCCAAAAUUCAACCGUUUGGACAGUCCGAGCUCCCCAAAUCAAGCCCAUAUGUGGGGGAGAAAUGUGGUUGUCUGAACUAUCCCUCGUGUUAUCACCCACACACAGUCCCAAUACAAAAACCCCACCCCAUGACGCACCCUUUUGUUUUCCUGUGGAACCCUUACCUUCCCGCUCGAUUUCAUGCCAUAAUGGGACAUUUCUCACUGAAGUCUUCUCUAAAACCGGAUGACGUCCACCUCACCUUGGCCACGGCGCCUUCUCUCCUUGCACCAUACUUCCUCACUGACCUAAAAGAGUGAUAAGUAUGUACGUAUAACUCAAAGGAGUUGAUAAAAAACUUAAAUAAAUGAUGCUAUCCGGACGAAGCUCCGUGUUGAUCGCAGGUUGGUCGUUGGAUCUGGCUUGAUCCAAUAGACCACACGUCCUCCGCUGGUCCAUGGGCCAUGGGACCCGCACACCAGUUAACCCUGUUCCUCCUUAUCUUCUUCCUCGAUGCGGAUCCCCUUGUAUCCAUUGUCUUUCUCAUUGUUGAGGCCAUCCCUUCAGCAUCGAUAUCCCCAAAUCCCCCAUGACUCCCUCUCAUGAAUAGGCCGACGACCUCCCUCAUCCUUUCUCUAUCACUCGCUAAUCCCAUGGCGCCCUCUCCUUUACCAUGCCAGGGAACUCCCGCAUGCAUCUCCUGCAAAUCCCCAUCCCCCCCCCCCUCAGGUGGAGGAUAGUCACCUGUGCUGCAAAAAGCCGUGGAAAAGUUGUAUCCGGCUCCUUCGGAACCUGCGAACAGCACCUGCAGAAGCUGCAAUGCGUGGAGGUGAGGUCCUGGCGAAACCGGUGAGAUGUUGAAACAGGCAGUCGACAAGAUUCAACCGUUGUUAAGUUUUGCUGGAACAUGUGCUCAUGUUUGUUGUGUAGGCAGACCACAUGAAGUAGAUGCUUGCGACGUUGAUGCUACAGCCGAUGACGUUUUGCUGGAACCAUUGGCAAGUUUUGCUGGGACCGAUGCUUGAUUUUGUUGCAUAGGCAGACCCCGCAACGUGAAUGCUAUAACCGGCAAAGCAAUUUGCUAGAAUCAGCGGCAAAAAUUUUUAGACAGGCAAUUUGGGCAACUGCGACGACAUGAGGGUCCUCGGCGAGCCGUCGGAGUCAAAUGCCCCUCGGUGUGCCAUGGUCGACAUUGUUCCUUCCUCGAACCGGCUCUACGGCUGAUGGCAAGCUGCAACAUGGUGACACCAUGCUACAAGCCAGGAGAGAUCGACGGCGACCACCAGGGGCGGUUCAAUGAUGUCGACAUGAUGCUCCGAGGUAGCCGAUGGUGUUGCAAGGGGACAGAGCUAUGGUGCGAGGUGUCGAGUCCCAUCCCUCCACGAAUCACCCAUGGUGAGCUGCAACGAGGCUUCAUGUAGGGGCGGAAGAAAAACUUAAAUCGAAUGGCUAUUAGCGUCCAGAUCAAAUGAUAGUGCGUAAAUCGUAUGACCCGGUAACUGCAGCGCCGCAAAUUUGGGCCAGUCAACCGAUGCCUAGCUGCCACCAAACCUAAAGUUAGCAAAUGUGUUGUCACAUCUUGAUUAAGCAUUAACUAAGUUUUUGGUAUAAAAAGGUGAAAGUUUGUUCAUCAUUUUACCCAAAUAUAGUAGUAUUUAUAAAGUAUGGUAACCCAUUUCUUGGGAUCGAUUGUAGUCAAUGGCCCAUCCUGCUGCUCUACACCUCUACUGAUGAAGCCUCGAUAAUACACUUGUUUCUCAAAGUUCUAGGGAGUAGAAGCAUUUCCAUGUUUGCUUCUCUCUAGUGAAGCUGAAGGUAAUGGCCUGUCGGUCAAUAUUCAAACACCUAAAGUUUUUCAUGCCCACAAAUACCCGAUGAUAUUCUUAUUUUCAUACAACAUCAUUCACAUUUUUGCACCUAGCAACCCUAGCAAUGGGUCUCGGCAACAACGAUGAAAAUGGUGGGAGAAUCAGAUAUUUUAUUCACCCGGUCUGACAGUCAUGCAAACAUACUGAAAGAAUGAUUCACCAUUAGAAUGAACCAUAAAUGUCAUAAGCGCGAGGAAGAAUAGGAAAUGAUGCUUACACAUACAAAAGGAUUUAAAAUUUAAACCAAAUUUACACCAUUUUCUAAUUGUUGUCACAUUUGAGACAAACCAAAAUAAUACUGAAAACACAUAUGAAAUUAUGAACUGAUUUAGACCAUUUUUUAUAAGCAAAGGUAAAAUAGAGUCAUAGGCUAUCAUAUUGUUGAAAGAACACUUUCUGGAAAUCAAAAUGAAAUGAAAUAAUCAUACAUUUGUCUCCGCGAGUCUCACAUAGACCAUCUCAUAUAUCCCAAUUUCGUGUGAAAUAAUGAGAUCAUCGUCAAGAUACAUCUUCCUGAGUACAGUGCAAAGUAAUGCUAUAUCACAAAUGGUUGUAAAUCAAUAGUAUUUAUGUAUAAGCAUGCAUGAGAUCAAUACUCAGGUUCUAGUAGAAAUUAGUGAUAAAUAAAUAAAUAAAAUAUGUAUACGCAUGUAAGAAAUUUAGAAGUGCAUCUAAGCAUAACAUGUGCAGGUUACAUACCAAUAAUAUAGACAUAGUUAGCGUCAGGGGAACCCACCAGAUCUUUAACCAACAUAAAGAAAGCUACCCUCAUCCUCAAGCCCGCUGCCAUCCAUUUAUGUAGGUCAAAAUGUUCCAUUACCAAAAAAACUGGACACUGAAGAUUUGCAAUACCAGUGUCAUAUUAAUUACUGACAUUCAUGUGGGAUUGGAAGAAAAUUCAAAUUGCCUUUAUUUAAAUUACCUAAAUAGCCCCAGUAGACGCAGCGACCAUAGUUCACGAUGUAGCGUAUAUGUGUACUGGGCCUUUGGUGCAUGACUACGUCGGCUGGGGCCUCACAUGCUACCCAGCACAGUCCUGCACUAACGAACUUUUGAUGUUUCCCUCCUCCAAGGUUGUGAACAUGAGUCCAAGUUUUUUGUUCUUCGACCACCAAUCAAGUUUAGAACUGGUCCAACAAUUUCAUGUUGAGAUCUGAAUAGAAAAAGACAUGAUGCCCUAUGAGAAAUAUCAUGGCCACCAAAGUGUAGCGCUUAUGAGUUCAUGAAACAACUUUGGUGAAGGAAAAGAAGAAGAAGAAUACUGCAUAUACAUAAGAAUACUGCUUAUGAGUACAUGAAGUAGCAAACAUAAUUCAAACAACUACAGUCAUGCUUAGAAUUAGGGAGCCAAGAUGACUUCAAGAAUAAAAGCAACAAUUAACUCAACAGUGCUCACAUUAGUGGUGUUGUCCUGCGUUAUGGAUGAGCUGCGGAAAGGGAUAGGUGUUGCAAUCGCCAGCUAGAGGCGGACGUAAGUGAAGGGCACCAUGGCAGCAAAACAUGGGCUGAGAGGACGAGCGCAUGCCACCGCCUCAUCGCUGAUCUCAGGCAUCCCUAAUUUCUCCAUUACUCAACCAGGGAUAAGUUAUGUCAAAUUACAUAUCACUAUGGCUGGGAGCUGGUGUCACCAUGGCUUGUCCAAAUCAAGCGCUUACUUCUUUUGGAUUGGAAAGACAACAAACUGAAGAAUUAGUGCAGCAUCACCCUGCAAAUCAAACAUGUUUCUUGUUUCUUCGUGCAACAUCUGCUCUGCAAAUCAAACAUGUCAGCAGUAGAUAAUCUAUCAGGAUCGAGGCCCCUCAUCAUUGGUGACAUUGCCCCAGCCACAAAACUUCUCCAACAAAACAGCUCCAUCUGACAACAACAAUUGGGUUCACAAAACCAACAUAAAAAAUCAGUUCUGAAUUGAUAAACUAAAUGAUAGCUAAAAUUUAUACCGGGUCAUAGGAGAAUUCACACAGUUUGGCAAAUAUACAGGCUAUAGUACAUACACAAAAUAACAGCUCUAGGCACAAUAAACUUGCAACUUAAUUCUGUUGAACACGGCGAACAAGAAAGAAGCAUACAACUGCAUCCAUUCACCAUCGCAUCCAGUUGUUCCCUUCAAACCUCCAAGAGUGAUGGCGGCACCGACAUGACCACACCUGCACCAGUUCACCGAACCAAUGAACCAAAUCAAUUGUUCACACUAUGCUGUGAUGAACAAAUUCUAAGACAUCACAUCAGUGUAGCAGUCCAAAUAAAGCGGUACAUUAGCUUUGAACAAAUACUCACAUAGAUCGAGUUUCUAGCUCAGGGUUGUGUACGUGCACAAGUCUUACUUAUUGGCUAUUGCCUCACGCAGCGGUCUGCAUCACCACUUGAUCCCAUUGACCGAUUUACUACUGCCAUGAACUGCUGCUGAUGAGUUUGAUUUGGGUGCCGUCUGGCCAGCAAGUCGCAUGGAAGAGAGGUAUAAGGGAGAGACAAAGCGUAUAUGCAUGAGAUAGAUUACUUCACAUCGCGAUGGUGGCGGACACCCGGCCGACAGCAAGUUGGUAAGGCAUAUAAAAAUUAAGGCGCUCUAACCGAAGCAGAGGAGAGUGGAGCGGCAAUUACCAGAUGGAAGAAGAUGCACACACAAGGGGAGAGGAAGAGCGGCAUGGCAGAGUAACCCACCGACGGCCGUGCCUCCAGUCUGCUUCCCCUGCGCCCCUCAGUUCGUCUCCACCGCACUCGCUCGAGGGCGCGAUCGCCCAGCCGCGCCGCUGUCUUGCUUCGACGCCGCCGCACGUCAUUCCUAGAGAGAGACCAAGAUGGGAGAGAUGAGUAGGCUCAGGUAGAGAGGGAAAAAUCUGUACCUCACGUCCUCACGCCCGUCUUCUACCAUCAUCCUAAGCCCAAUGCCGAUGCUGCCCUGAGCGCCGUUGUUUCAUCUAUCUAGCCGCCACAGGAGAAAAACGAGAUGGGAAGGGCUCAUAGGGUUUGGCUGUCGUGGGUGAGAAGGAUAUGAUCUGGGCCGGAUUGGAUUGUCCGUGGCCAUAAAAGGAAGAUUAAUAAAGUGUCUAAAAAAGGAAGAUUACAAACGCAGGAAGGUAGGGAAUCGGUCUGCCAACAAAAUUGAUCGACCAGGUGGACUUUGAAGGGGAGAAAAAAAAACAUGUGGGAUCGAUGGGAGGGGAUGUCGAACGAACGAACGAACCAACGACGUACAGACUGCUCCUUUAGGAGUAGAGAUGAAUGAAUCGUACUAGUAUUGUACAGGCAUGCAUGUGAUGUGCUUAAUUAAACUGUGCUGCACUUGGUUGAUUGUACUUGGCCGGCGAACUUAUUAACCGGCCGUUGCGAUGUCAUGCAUCAUCGACUCAUCCUGCUCGUUACAUUUUUUUUUUGAGUGGUAAACCAAUUUUUAUUACUCAGCUGCAAGGUUUACAGGGAUAAUGAGGGGGUCAUGAGGAGCCUCAGCCACACAUGGCGACCAAACUCUAAAGUACUAGAAAACUUAGCUAAGUUGUGAGCAUCCCAAUUCAUAGCUCGCCCCUCAAAAACAAAAACACAACUAUUAAACUAUUUUGCCCUAGCAAUGAUCUCUUUGAUGAUUACAGAAUAUCUUCCUUCGGUGCCUCUCUGAAUGUCCGACACCACUGCCUUGGAGUCGCAUAUGAUUAUCAGUCUGUCCACCGCUAGAUCUAAAGCAAGGGAUAGGGCCUCCCGACACGCAAGGGCUUCGAGAGUAGCAGGAUCUGCGAUGUCCGGUAAAACCAUAGCAGACGAGCCCAAGAACACCCCGUUUUAGUCCCUACAGACAGCCGAAGAAGCGCCCUUCUGCCUGUUUCUGGGUAGUGCGCCGUCAACAUGAAUCUUAACUUGACCCUCUCCAGGAGGUCUCCAAGUCCGCCGGAUACUAGAGGGCCCGCUAGUGUUACUUCUUAUUGCCCGUGCAGGAUUUGUUUCUGUGUUCUGUAGCACUUCCAGCUCAUCUAUAGAGUUGUUCACGAAGGAAUGAGUAGCGUGUGGACUUUGAAGAAUUCCAUCGUGUAUCGCCUUUCGCCUAGCAGUCUAGAUUACCCAAAGUGUGACUACCAUCUCAAUCAGUUUCUUGUGUGGUAAGCUGUCAAUCAUCUCAAAAAUCCAUUUCUUCGCGUUCGGAUCUGUCGUGGCCUGGAUGUGAUCGACAAUAUCCAAAUCAGCUAACGCCCAUACACAUCUGGACAUAGAGCAUUCAAGGAAAGAGUGUCACCAAGAAUCUUGGGAACCACAUAACUGACAUUUAUCGUCAUCCGCCAUGUUUCUGUUGUGUCGCACAUCCUCAGUUGGGAUCGAGAAUUUUGCUAACCUCCAUAAGAAGUUUCUUAUCUUUCCGGGCACCUCAAUAGACCACAACGAUGACCAAGACUUUGCCUCGUCCUCAUAAUUUGAUCUCCCAGAAUUGUUUUCAAGCCACUCCUCUCUCCUUCUCUUGGUGUCAACAAGCAUUCGAUAUGCCGAUCUUACCGUAAAGAUACCAUUCUUCUCUGCAUUCCAAGCCCAAAAGUCCUCCAUGUUCCUUGUGCAUAAAGGGAUACUCAUAAUAGUAUUUGCAUCUGAUGUAAGAAAGGCUUGGUUUAUCAAAACACGCCUCCAUGUUGCACUAGUAGCAUCAAUAAGCUCACUCACCCUCGUUGGAGGAUUAUUCAUCAAACAUGCUAUUGGUAUCAUCAUCACAUUAUUAGGCAGCCAAUUUUGCUCCCAUAUCAGUGUUGUAGCUCCAUUCCCUAUCUUCCGAAUGAGUCCCUAACAGAGCACAUCUCUCCCCUCCAGUAUGGCGUGCCAAACCUGGGAAGGUUGGCUUCCCAGCUCGGUUGAAAGAAUGUCACUGUUUGGGAAAUAAAUAGCUUUGAGCAACCGCGUACACGGGGACUCUGUAUUAUGAAGCAGGCUCCAAGACUGUUUCGCUAACAAUGCCAAAUUGAAAAGCUCGAAAUAUCGAAAACCAAGACCAACCAUAAACUUUGGUUGAGUCAUAGAUUUCCAUGAAACCCAGCUCGGNNNNNNNNNNNNNNNNNNNNNNNNNNNNNNNNNNNNNNNNNNNNNNNNNNNNNNNNNNNNNNNNNNNNNNNNNNNNNNNNNNNNNNNNNNNNNNNNNNNNNNNNNNNNNNNNNNNNNNNNNNNNNNNNNNNNNNNNNNNNNNNNNNNNNNNNNNNNNNNNNNNNNNNNNNNNNNNNNNNNNNNNNNNNNNNNNNNNNNNNNNNNNNNNNNNNNNNNNNNNNNNNNNNNNNNNNNNNNNNNNNNNNNNNNNNNNNNNNNNNNNNNNNNNNNNNNNNNNNNNNNNNNNNNNNNNNNNNNNNNNNNNNNNNNNNNNNNNNNNNNNNNNNNNNNNNNNNNNNNNNNNNNNNNNNNNNNNNNNNNNNNNNNNNNNNNNNNNNNNNNNNNNNNNNNNNNNNNNNNNNNNNNNNNNNNNNNNNNNNNNNNNNNNNNNNNNNNNNNNNNNNNNNNNNNNNNNNNNNNNNNNNNNNNNNNNNNNNNNNCACCAAAACUGCCUGAUAAGUUUGUUCAAAUGUUCACAAAGUUCCUUUGGUAACUUGAAGCAAGACAUCGAAAAAAACAGGCAUUGCCUGAGCAACUGAUUUCACUCAAACUUCCUUCUCCACCGAAGAAAUUAUCCACUCCAUCCAUCACUACACUUUUCUCCACAUUCCACAAUAUAUCUUUGAAGUACUUGAAGGCACCAAAUUUCAACCUGCCCACAUCAGAAGGCAUACCAAGGUAUUUUUCAUUCAAAGUUUCUUUUGGAACAUUCAGUACUCCCCUGAUCUCCUAUUUAACAUUUGCUGGGCAUCCCUUGCUGGAAAAGAUAGAUGAUUUCAUAGGGUUUACUCUCUGACCGGAAGCUUGACAAUAUCUUUCCAACAGGUUUGAAACCUCACUUGCCCCAACACCAUUGGCUUUGAAAAAUAGCAGGCGAUCAUCCGCGAACAAAUGGUGAUUAACAGGUGGUGCCGUGGGCGCCACUUGUAUCCCACCCAGCUGAGAUGAUUGAUCUAAGUUUUUUAGGAGGAACGAAAGGCCCUCUGCUACCAACAAAACUAGGUACGGGGAUAUAGAAUCUCGCUGCCGAAGUCCUCUGCUCGGCUUGAACUCCUCUAACUUCUUCCCAUUAAACAACACAGAGUAAGAAACUGAAGAAACCAAGUUCAUGACAUUAUUUACCCACCUCUGUGAAAACCCCAACUUGAACAUAAUUGCUCUUAAAUAGUCCCACUCGACCCUAUCAUAGGCCUUCAUCAUGUCGAGCUUGAGUGCACAGUGACGAUGUUUCAAAGACUUGUUCCGCUUCAUAAAACGUAGGCACUCAUACGCAACAAUGAUAUUAUAUGUGAUCAAACGUCCAGGGACAAAGGCUGGCUAUUCUACUGAUAUGAUAUCUGGAAGCACCAUCUUCAGACGAUUGGCGACAACCUUUGAAGCAAUCUUGUACAGCAAGUUACAUAAGCUAAUGUGGCAAAAUUAUGAGAGGAAUGUUGAAUUUUUUACCUUUGGGAUCAACACCAAAAAAGUUUGAUUAAUACCUUCAGCACUCUCUUGCCCCUCUACUAUUUUGAGAACAGCCGUUGUCACCUCAGCUCCACAUACCCCCAAUGUUUCUGAAAAAAGUGGGCAGGGAAACCGUCCGGCCCCAGCGCCUUCAUCGGAUACAUUUGAUAUAAUGCAGUUUUGACUUCCGCCUCUGUAUAUGUUGCGUCAGGGAGGGCUUGCAUGUCGCCUGUAAUUUUUCUAGGGACCGCAUCCAAAACCUCAUGCAUAUUAGAACAACCCUCCGAGGUAAAAAGUUUUUUUAUAGUACUCGCUUGUCAUCUCCUGAAGCUCAGUCACAUCCUCUGUGAUUUGACCGUCAGGCCUAGUCAGGGCCUUGAUUCUAUUCUUCCUUCUCCGCAUUGAUGAUUUCAUCUAAAAAUAUUUAUUAUUUUUAUUGCCAUAUGUCAACCAGUCCACCCUUGAUUUCUGUUUAUAUAAUAUUUCUUCACUUUGGUACAACUCAACAAGGCGAUUAGUAACCUUGAUCUCUAGCCGGCUUGGCCCAGUCCGGCCUUGUAUGUUUUUUCAAUGCCUCAAGCUGCCUUUUCCAUUGUUUUAUCUCAACCUUUACACUUCCAAAUGUGUACCGAUCCCAGUUGUGCAGAUUUUCGCCUAGCGCUUUGUGCUUCACUUGGACCUCAUUCACAGACAACGCCGCUGGCUUACUCCCUCAUUCUGAUUGUACAAAAGAAUCAAGCUCUGGGUGAUGUUCCACAUCAUCUCAUACCUGAAACGGCCCCUGGAUAGGCCCUCAUUCGCAUCUGAAGAAAGUUUUAAGACAAUAGGUCCAUGGUCCGAACAAGCUGUCGAUAGGUCCCCGCGGGCGACCCGGGCGCCCAACCCUAGCCGCCGCCGAACCCAACCCCCACCUCCUUCCUCUUCUCCCGCCGCCGCCGGGCAAAGCUCGAGCGGUGCCGGCGGCGGCGGGAUCUCGUUUGACCUCGCCUGGAACAGGGGCCGCGGGGGGCUGCUUCUUCGGGCGCGGAGGCGGAGCUCGGCGGCCGGUGCGUCGGAUGGAGCGCGCUGGUGGUCGGUGCGGGGCGGCACGGCCUGCUGUCCGGUGGCGGCACGUCACGGUGGAGCGCGCCGGCCGGUGGCGGCGCAGUGUUCUUCACGGCGGUGCUUGUUCUGGUCAGAUCCGCGCCGGCUGAUCUGAGGCGGCAGCCUCGCUGGGGCGGACGACGCUCCUCCGGCGGCGGGGAGUGCUCGUCGGUGAGGUAGACCGGAUCUCCUCGGCUGCACGGGCAGCGAGGUCCCGGUGGGUGCUGGUCAUGGCGCGGGGAGGCCCCGGGCUCCCCUCGUCAGAUCGGAGGCGAUCUGGUCCGCUCGUGUUGCAUGACCUCCGGCCAGCCUGGAUCUCCGGCGUGCAUGCGCCUGCUGAUGUUGUGUCUGGUUCGGAGGUGUGGCGGCAGGGUGCUUGGCCGGAGGAAACCCUUGGCCGCCGGUGGCGGUCACGGCGUCGAUGGCGUCCCGGACGCCAUUCCCUCCUUGGUGGCGGCGCCGAGGCUAAACCUCCUGUCGGUGUCAAAACCGGCGGAUCUCAGGUAGGGGGUCCCGAACUGUGCGUCUAGGCCGAAUGGUAACAGGAGGCAAGGGACACGAAGUUUUACCCAGGUUCGGGCCCUCUUGAUGGAGGUAAAACCCUAUGUCCUGCUUGAUUACUAUUGAUGAUAUGGGUAGUACAAGAGUAGAUCUACCACGAGAUCGGAGAGGCUAAACCCUAGAAGCUAGCCUAUGGUAUGAUUGUUGUUCUGUAUGUUGUCCUACGGACUAAAACCCUCCGGUUUAUAUAGACACCGAAGAGGGUUAGGGUUACAGAAAGUCGGUUACAAUGGUAGGAGGUCUACAUAUCCGUAUCGCCAAGCUUGCCUUCCACGCCAAGGAAAGUCCCUUCUGAACAUGGGACGAAGUCUUCAAUCUUGUAUCUUCAUAGUCCAGGAGUCCGGCUGAAGGUAUAGUCCGGCCAUCCGGACACCCCCUAAUCCAGGACUCCCUCACCUCCCCUGCCUCUCCCCUUCCCCUGCGCCCGGGUGAAAACCCUAGCCCCGGUGGCUAAGCGGCAGCGGUGCCACAUCGUCGUCACCUUCUUGAAGGCGCCGACUUGGGCAUGGGGAUGCUGGGUGUGCAUGGCGAGCUUAUCUGGUUCCUGGUGGCGGCCUGUCUGAUCUACCGCGUCGCUGCUCUGGGCAUGUCUCGUGACUGCGAUGCUUAUCUUCCAGCCGUGUUUCCGAUGGCGUCCUCGCCCUUCCUCACCUUGUACUUGCCGUGGUGGAGCGGUUCUUCAUCUCACUCAUUGAUGGCGGCGGAGAUUGGCGGCAUGGCGCUGUCGAGGCUCAGCGUCCGAUGCGCGGAGAUGGACUCGCGCAGGAGGAGGUAGCUAUCUGGCGUCAUGGUGACGUCGAUGGCAGAAGUGACCUUCACAAAGUAGAAGACUCAAUAUAAUCUGAAGACGGACUUGUGAAAGAUGGCGGCGACGACAUAAGAGUGUGUCUGACCGGAUUGUGCCCCAGACCCGGUAUGUGGCUCGGUUGGGGCUUCCGGCUUUUGAUGUUAGGUUUAGGUGAGUGAUUUGAGUAGUGGCCCAGCUAGCAUCCCUUCGUCAUAUGGAUAAGAGUAGCGGCAUAUGUUGCCAAGACGAUGGAUUCAGGUAUAUUAUUUGUAAUACUUUGUAAGGUCCUUGAGAAUAAUUAAUAAAAUGGUUGUAUGCAUCUCCUAGAUGCAGAGGCCGGGGGUCAUCCUCCUUUUCUAAAAAUAAAAAAAAUAAAAAAGCUGUCGAUAGGUUCUCAAGCUCCGCUCCAGGAAAAACAGAAUUCCAAUUUGCAUCUGCCACUGCACGAUCAAGGCGGACUCGAGUAAAAGAUCCACCAGAAACCCUCUUCUCAAAAGUCCAACUUCUACCUUUGUAGCCUAGGUCCGCCAAUCCACAUACGUCAAGAGCGUCUCUGAAGCCUUGCAUUUGUCCUUGGGCUCUAGGAUUAACUCCAUCAUGUUCAGAUUGUGUGAGUACUUCAUUAAAAUCACCGAGAACCACCCAUAGUAAGCUUGAGCCCGCUGCAGUAGAACAAAGAGUGUCUCAUGUUUUAUAUCUCUCGGUGACCUGAGAUUCUCCGUAUAUGCAUGUCAAUCUCCAAGGCGCUCGACCUAGAUCCUGGAUCGAACAGUCUAUAUGAUACCUAGAGUAACCAACAACUUCCAGAUUUAUUUCAUUGUUCCAAAAAAUGACAAGACCUCCACUUCUACUAGAACUAUCCACUGCAAAAGAAUUAUUCAUAACCAAACGAAUGAGCUAAAAUCUCGGCCCAUGCUCUGGGAAGUUGUGUUUCGACAAGACACAGCGCGGCCGGGGUAAAUUUGGCAUUGAACUCACGGACCUCUCGUCUCUCGAACUGUCGCGGGAUUACCCAAACCACAAAAGUUCCAACAGAAAGUAUCAUUGGGAUCGGCGGUCCUCCACAAGGGAGGUCGCCUCAGUCAUUAGGUCCAUCUCACGAUCUUAUCCAUGUGCUCCUUACCUCCUUCUCUCGACAAUAGGAACUUUCCCCAGUGUCGUAGCUGGAUCAUCUGAAGACCAAGCUGACGCUCCACCUUCAAUUAGCAUAACAGUUCCUGCAACCUUGCCUGCCAGAUUAGGGACCGGCUGCCCCCUGACGAUAAGUGAUCCAUCAGCGGCCACCAAACGUGUGUGUAUGUUCUUUUCUCCCCUUGCAUUCCGAUCAUCUUGCGUGUAGUCCAUAUCCACAUGAGCUCUGUCCUCGUCCGCAACAUUACUUUCUCUCCUUGCUGCCCCAUCCUACCUCUUCCACCCAUCCUGCCUCGUAUGCCACCCGCCUACCUGCACCGCGGGAGUGAAUUGCGAAAAAUCACCACAUUAAAGUGUAGGUUUGCAUGGAAGACUCUUCUACGAAUUUGUGCCAGAAAACACUGAUUUUAGUCCUAAUAUUUUGCAAAAAACACUGAUCAACCAUUUUAUGCAUUUUAACCUCGAUUCUGACAUGUGGGGCCCUGGUAUUUUUGCAUAGUCACCCUUCGGUUAAAAGUACAAAACGCAAUCAGCUCCUCGUCGCCGGCAUGCAGCAGAGGCAUCGGUGCUCAUGGUCCUCGUUGCCAGCCAUGGCCACACCGUCCAGAGGGGGGGGGGAGAGGUUGGCUCGUCGCCGUUGGCUGGUGGUGCCGCAUCUGGCGGUGGUGGGACGAGCACCAGAGGACGAGACGGUGGCUCGUUCAUGCACGCGGCAGCGCUGCUGGCUUGGAGUCUCCAUGCGCUUGGUACCGUCGGACACCACGCGCUCAUCGCCGAGGUCGCUGCUUGCUGCAGCUUGCGCGCCGCCGUCGCUGCUUGUGCCGAGCUGCGCGGCGCCGCUGGUGUUUGCUCCCCUAGGAGGUCGGGGUCAAGGGCGCCGCCACCGCUGCUUCCUCUGCUGGGAGGGCGGCGUUAAGCACGCCGCCGCUUGUGCCUGAGCUGUGCGUCGUCGGCGCCGCUUGCUCCGUCGGGAGGCAGGGGUCGGGCCCGAGCUGCCUGCCGCCGCGCGGCCGCCGCUUGCUGCGCUUGCACCCGAGCUCCGCGUCGGGGUCGUAGCCGGGAAGGGAGGUGGCGGCGCUGGGAGGGCGGGGGCGCGCCGAGAGGGAGGUGGCGGCGCUGGGAGGCGGGGGCGCGCUGAGAGGGAGGUGGCGGCGCUGGGAGGCGGGGGCGUGUCAGAGGGAGGUGGCGGCGCUGGGAGGCGGGGGCGCGCCGGAGGGAGGUGGAGGAGCAGGGAGAGGGUAGUUUUUUAGGGAAGAAUUUUUUAGGGAGGGGAUGACGUUUUGGCAAAAACACUGUUAGCCACAUCAGCAAAUGGUGGGCUCCAUCUGUCAUAAUCGUCAUCAGAUGGGCUAAAGUCAUCAACUAGUGUUUUCGGGCAUAAAUUCGUAGAAGAGUCUUUUCUGCAAACCUACGCUUCAAUGUGAUGGUUUUUUGCAAUUCACUCGCACCGCGGCCCUCAAACGGCCGGCUGGGUAAAUAAGGUUCUGAAUUCCACAUAAGUCACUCUCUUGCUCGUUACGUGGUUAUCUCCGAACGAGCUCUCGACAAAAAAGGCAGGAUGUUAAAUACAGUACGAAAUAGUAAGCGGGGCUAGCUAGAUCGAUACCAUCAGUUCGUACGGUAACGACGAAUUGCAGUGCACAUCAGAAUUAUAUCAUUAGUAUAGUACUACUAGUAAGACAUGUACUACCAUACCAUAUAAUAAGAGGGUAUCUCAAUUAUAAAUCACCUCCAAUUUAGAGUUGAGUUGAGGUGCGAGUAACAAGCAUGCAUGCAAGCACCGAUCUAUACUCCCUCCUUCGUCGACCAGAAAUACUUGUCGAUGAAAUGAAUAAAAAUAAAUAUAUUUAAAACUAAAACAUGUCUAGAUGCAUUGAUUUCUUCGACAAAUAUUUCUGAAAGGAGGUAUGUACAUAUAUAUGUACGAAUGCUAGCGAAACGAGCAACGUUCGCGGUUACCAAUCUAGCCGUGAGUUCCAAGGAGGUGUGACGAAAACCAAAAAUGGGAUGGAGGGCCACCAACGGCGGCCAACUACUCCCACCCGGACAACACUGCCGCGUUCGAUCCUCACAUUACACACGAAUGAACCCUCGGUCGAUCAGCUCAAGACUCCAAAGUAGAUCGUGAAUAUGAUCGGAUUGACAGCUGAAUCCAAUCUAGGGUACUCCCUCCGGCCGAAAUUACUUGUCGCGAAAAUGAUAGAAAUGAAUGUAUUUAAAACUAAAAUAUAUUUAGAUACGUCCAUUCUUGCGACAAGUAAUUCCGGACGAAGGGAGUACUUUCUUGAAAGACGUUUGCCGUGCCUUUUCUGCGAGGACACUUACACCAAGCACCGGAUGCAGCACCUGCGAACUUACUGGUACUUACUACUACGACAUGUAUAUUAGUUACAUGCAUGGCCUUCAUGACACGGCUGUAGUCAGCUACACAUGCAUAAAACAUGCAUCUAUUGCACACUCAUCCAGAGCCUCAUACUCCGAUGCUACACACCGGCCAACCCGUCGCUAAGAACAUUCACAGCCGGACGCUCCAAAUUCAACUUAAACGCCUAGAUGGACAGUUCGGUUAGUGACCAGUCUUUAAAAAUCGAUUUAGACAGACUCUUUAAACAUGCCUUAAAUGCUCCGGCUAACCGGCACCUCUCAUAUCUAGCCCAAAUUUAGAGCGGAUACAAGGGCACCCGCGCGUGUUCACCACGUCAGACCCGGCAGCCCUAGCCCACCACAAAUUGUACCAAAUCCACCCCUUCGACCUACCAGAUCCAUUUGUUUUCUUCUCACUUCUUCCUCCUCCGCGAUGGACAUCUCGUAGCUCCGCCGCCCCCAUUGCUCCGUAGCCGUUCCGAGCCUCUCCGCCGCCAGCACCAGCACAACAGUCCCGUCUCCCGUCCUCGUCGCCAGGGACGUCCUCGCCGGACCACCACGGUACGUCCGGCAACUCUCGAGUUGCGCUAUGUAUGAUGGACGUGCAUGGAUGUGAGAGCCUGGAUUUGAGAUAUGUGGAUGGCGGACACGAGAUAUGAGGGGUCGUCUGGAUGCGUCCGCGGACGUGCCCGAGCACGUCUAGGGUGGUGGAUUCGCCUCUUUUUUUGAGAUGCUGGGUGGCGUAUCUGCCAUGUCCGGCAUUAGAUACUCUAAGCGUAGCCAAAUGAUCAUGUCCGUCAUCGGCAAGGCCCAUGUGACAUGAUGUGGAAGUUUUAUGUACAACAAAGAAACCCGUGGGUGGAGCCUAUAGACGUGGGUAAUGCAGGAUGCCGCAAGUAUAAAUUUGCAACAAUUCAUGUUGUACUCGUCGUCAAGGGUGCUCCAAAUCGGUGCCUCGAUCACCCGAUACGGAACUGGCGCACACACAGAAUACUUGUGGGCGGUGGCCCAUUAGUAUGCAGCGCGCAGCUCGGUCAACGGCUGACUAGUUAACCGGUCAAAUGUUGACUUUCAGGCAAUAAGAAUUAAAAAUAUAAAUAAAAGAACAAAAAAAUGUGAACUAAAAAGCGUUCAAUAUUUAAAAAAGUUCAUGGGAUUUAAAAAAAUCAUUGGAAAAAUGUUCGCAAAUUUGAAAAAAAAUCAUUGAUUUUCAUAGAAAAUCACAACUUUUUCGAAAAGUUCAUGAAUUUGAAAAAAAGUUCACCAAAUUAUAAAAUGUUUCACGAAUUUGAAAAGAAAUUCAUCGAUAUUGAAAAAAAGUGCGUGCAUUUUGAAAAAAGAAAAAUAAGAAAAAAAUAGAAAUAACAUAUAAUAUAUAAAGGAAAAGAAUAAACAAAACAAAAACCAUCAUCAAAAAAAUCUUAUUGAAAAAAGAAAGAAAUGGUUGGGAAGCUUCUGGAAAUGCCCGUCGUCAGGUCCCCUAUAUGACACUCGCCAAAAUGUACUCCAUGCGGUUUACGGUAUGGGCUGACCCAGUCAGUAUGUCUGUGGUUACCAAGCGCACUGUUUUCCAGCGGGUUUUCAAUUUUCUUUUAGGUUUUCAUAUUUUCAGUUUUCAGUCAAAAUAUAUUACUUCAAGAAAAAAAUGUUCACAAAGUUUAAUAAAGUUAGGAAUUUCCAAAUAUGUCCAUAUUUUUUAAUAUCCAUGAAAGAAAAUGUUCCAAAAGAUUAAAAAAUCCUAAAUUUUGAAAGAUGUUAUAAAAAAAUUAAAAGUAAAAAAUUAAAAAUGUAUUCAUAAAAUUUAAAAAGCUAUUCUUGAAUUUUGAAAAGUGACUGUGAAUUUCAAAUGAUUCUUGAAUUUUAUGAAAUGUUCACAUAUUUUUAAAAGCAUUCACAUAUUUAAAAAAUAUUCUCAAAAUUUAGAAAUUGUUCAUGUAUUUUAAAUAUAUUCCUGAUUUAAAAAAAUGUUUACAGACUCAAAAAUGAUCGUUAGAUGGAAAAAGGUUUUAGAAUGGAAAUAAAAAGGUAAAGAAAAGAAAGAGAUAAAUGAUGAAAAAGAAAAGGUAAAACUAUUCGAAUGAUUUUUUUGUCUCAUUCACUUUUGUGGCCGCCGGAUCAACACGCUCCGCGAUUCGUUUUUCUGAGCGACGCGAGCGUGCACUGCUCGUCUCAUACGAGGAGCAGCUCAUGUGCGUGAGGUUUACCCAGGCUUUUUGCUUGCUUAUUUGCCCGAGCUGGGCUAAGUGGGCUUUUUGUGUUCCUUUUUCCCCGACCAAACAAGAAAGAUGGGGGGGUCGAAGGAUGUGAACGCUGCGUAGCUUUUUGCAUGUUUUGUCAUUUGUUUACUGUAGCUUUCAGGGGUAAGCUCUUUGUAAGGACUUUUUAAACUUUUUUCUCAUGAUUAAUUGUUCUUUUAGUUUUUUGUUUUUUUCUUCUUUCACUAUAUUUAAUAGAAUUUUGUUUCACUCUUUUCUUAUUUUUGUUAUAUUCAUUUUAUUUUAAGUAUAAUAUUCAUUUGUUACCCAAGGUUGCAAAUUGAUUGUUUUGGUUUUAUUUUUACAAAAUUAUCCUAUUAUUAUUAUUAUUAUUAUUAUUAUUAUUACUAUUAUUAUUAUUAUUAUUAUUAUUAUUAUUAUUAUUAUUAUUUUAAAAGCAUCACCGUGCCAACACAUUAAUGAAGUUUUGAUUGAAAAAUAGGGUGUCGGUGGGACAGGAGCCAGUUACAUGUCUACCACUAGACAUGCAACUACAAGCAAUGUAACCCGAUUGCAAUUGCGCCGGCACAAAGCAAUUGCAACUGGGGUUGGGAGGGGAAGUUGUCGGGGCCAGUUGCAUGUCCGUAUUAGAAAUGCAACUGCAAGUGUUGUAAUCCGACUGCAACUGCACGGGGCUCAAAGCGACUGCAACUGGGUUCCGGAAAGGAGUGGUCAGGAUACUUGUAUGUCCAGCACUAGACAUGCAACUGCAAGUGUUAUAACCCGACUGCAGCUUCAAGCGUUGUUACCCGACUGCAACUGCAGGGGGCACAAAACACUUCAACUAGGGUUGGGAAAGAACUUGUCGAGGCCAGUUGCAUGUCCACCACUAGACAUGCAACUGCAAGUGUUGUAACCUGACUGCAACUGCACGGUGCACAAAGUGACUGCAACUUGGGCUAGGAGAAGUGUUGUCGAGGCCAAUUGCAUGUACAUCACUAGACAUGCAACUACAAGUGUUGUAACCCGGCUGCAGCUUCAAGCGUUGUUACCCGACUGCAACUGCAGGGGGCACAAUACACUGCGACUGGGGCUGGGAAAGAAGUUGUUGAGGCCAGUUGCAUGUCCACCACUAGACAUGCAGCUGCAAGUGUUGUAACCCGAAUGCAACUGCACGGGACACAAAGUGACUGCAACUUGGGCUAGGAGAAGUGUUGUCAAGGCCAAUUGCAUGUACAUCACUAGACAUAUAAUUACAAGUGUUGUAAUCCGAUUGCAACUGCACGAGCACAAAGUGACUGCAACUGGAUCAAGCGAGAGUUAUCAGGAUCAAUUACAUGUACAUCACUAAACAUGCAAUUUGCAAGCAUUUGUCUGUUCUUAAAUAUUUUUACUACUAAAAAAGGUGUAGUAUAUGUAUAUACAUGGCGUGUUUUCUGUAUGUACAUGCGUGCCCGUUUGAAAGCAUGUACGUGCAACCGGCCGGGAUACGAAAAGAGAAAAAAUACAAACGCGGAGAAGACGAAUGAAGACAUACGCACGCAACAAAACUCACUCCACUCAACGUCACGUCACACCCAGCUCACAUGUACGAGCCAUACAUGCAGCCGAGGGAAGGACGUACGUGGAACAAACAACAACAGCGUGGCAGAUACGAUCGAAUACAAAAUGUUUUCUCUUAUUUUCCUCUUCGCUUUCUAUACAAGCCCAAAUAAUUUUUGAUCAAAGCCCGCUGCUAGAAGGGACAACAACAAUCAAAAAGAAGUCCAGCAACCCAUAUAGGAUGAACGAGAUCAAAUGAUUCUAGGGAAAAAAAGAUGAAUGAGACCAAAUUAUAUCUCAGUUAGAUGAGUUCUAGGCACUCCCAAAACUAAACUAAAAUUGUAAAUGUAUGCCCGCUUUCCAAGACGCUUUUUUCUGUUGCAUGCCCGCUUUUUAAAUGUAUUCAUCAGUGAUGGCGUCUCAAUGUAGUGGAAACAGUGGUUUUAGCACCAUAUUCCGACACACAUGCAUAUAAAAUGUACUAGAGCAUUCUGAGUAACCAAACAUGCAGUAAUUAAAAGGACACCGGGAGCACUAGUAGAUGAUCUCAUCCCUGUUCUUGAUCCAAUUGCCCUUGGCCCUCAUCAGAUGGAUGGAGAAGGAGAAUUAAUGGAAAUGGGAUAAAGAACUGCUGCCCAUGUUUCAACGGAUAUCAAAAGGUCCUUCCUCCAUGAACCUCGUCCCCGCCUCUUCCUGUUCUUUUGUUUCUAUUUUUCCUCGUUUGAAGUACUCCACUAGAAUGGCAGCGACGGUGAUGAGCUCACCGCCGUCGCUGAGCUGCUUGGCAUGAAAAAGUGCACUGCACCGCUGGCCCGCGUAGCAUAGCGUCUCCACCCACACCUGGGCGAGCAGCUCCAGCGUGCCCAUUGCGUCAUCUUGGACCUCCUUGCUGACGACGAUCUUGGCACCAAGCUCGCAUCCUUUAUCCAACAUGGAUACGAGAUGGUCUUGUGUUGUGUGAUCAACACGUAGUAGCGGAUAACGGCUGUUCCUCCCUGUAUCCCCAUAGGUCUUGAGAAAUCUGGCCACCUCCUCGGGUGAGCUGUAAGGCGUAGCAGCAGCAUCACGCGGACCACGCGUGAUGAGGCCAAAGCACACCUCGAUGUAGGAAUUGUGGUUGGCAGUGGGACCGAGCAUGUAGGGGCGUGAGGCGAGGAGGUAGAGCAUGUAGUUGGAGAGCGCCCGGCGAGAGCAUACGGAUGCAGAGGCCGUACCAAGUGUGCAUCACCUCAGCCUUGGUGUACAGGACAUCGUGCAUCAGGGACAGCUGCAUCUCAACCACCUUGUACAAACGGCCCUCCUCCCGGAGAUACGAAGCAUGUCCGUAUCCUGCUUCGUUGAUCAGCCCCUUGAUCAUUUCCUUGGGAACCCCAAGCGUUCGGUGAGCCAUCAGUAGGCAGUCUUCAGUGUCCCAUGGACGCUUGUCUAGUAUGUCUUCCAGAUUGUUGCGUGAGAAAACGAAGGCCGAAUGCUGUAAAGCUUGGUAGUUCUUCCCCACCGGGUUGCUGCCAGCGCACCGGAGAGCCCAGACCCUCUCCGCGUACUUGACGACACCCACCACAAACAUGAGGAUGCCGGCCCACCGGAGCAAGGCCGAGCCACCAACGACAACGGAGGUGUAGAAGAGGACGUAGCCGGCGGCGGUCACCUGCACGGCAAGCGUCUGCAAGUGCCGCAGCCAGAGCCGGUUGUCCUCGACGGCGUAGGCGGUGAUGUUGUCCUGCCCGCCCAGAUGGAGCAGCAGGAACGGCGCCCAGAAGGCCAUAAGCUCGUGGUCGAGAGACCGGCUGGCGGCGGACAGGUGGCCCAGCACGUAGAUGGCCGUGCCGUCGGCCAGCAUGUACGCCGACCAAGCCAAGAACCUUACCGCGCCGGAGUCAACGCGCCGCCGGAAUUCCGCCAGCGUGAGCAGCGCCACCUGGAGCGUCAAGCUGAGCAGCACCAACGCCUGGAUACCCCAUUCUUUCCAUGUUGCGAUACCCCAUUCUUUCCAUGCUGUUCCUCCGGCCAUAUCGAUGUCGAUCUGCAGCUCAACCCUGCUUCUGAAAUCACCACAAGUACAAAUUACAGACCCGCCAUUUGAUUAAGGGGGAAAUUGGAAAUAUAACACAUGGAAUCUAGGUUUGACACUUAAUUCGUCCAACUUUCAAAUAAUGACACUGCAGCAACGAAUUUUUUCAACAUUUGACAUUUUCCCCUCUUUUCUUAUUUCCCAGGCCAUAUCCCUCACCUUUUCUAUUUAUAGAGACCUAAAGUGACCAUUAUGUCCCUGAACCCACUUGGAAGAUUACUGUGGAGUAAUACUCUUGUAAUUAAUCAAGGCAGGAGCUACUACGAGCCCGAAAGAAUGCAGCUGCUGCCGCUACGCCGGUGAGCUGCUAGUCCGGCUAGGUCCGUGGCUGAUUCUACCAUACGUUGCCACGGGGUACGAGGUAGACGACGCGCGGGCGCUCACCACGUCGGGAAAAUAUGUUUUAUUAGAGCACCUGCACCUAGACCCGUCUAUUUUACCAUUCAUUUUUCGCAUAACAAUCCGGGCAAGCACAUUUCUCUUUUUUGUUUCUCUCACAUAAAACAUGUUUUGAACUUCAAACUUCCACAGCACAGCAAAGCUUUCUAUCUAGAAUCUGGGAUAAAACUUUUAGAUUUUUUUCGUCCAAUAUAAAUAUACGAAUUAAGAAUCUUUUGGUUAAAAAAUCUUAUUUUUAGAAUUUAUGUCGGACCAAAAAAUAUGAAAGUUUUAUCUCACGUUCUAGUUAGGAAGCUUUAUUGUGCUGCAAAGUUUGAGAUUCAAGACAUGUUCUAUAUGAGAGAAACAAAAAGAGAAAUUUACAUGUAAAUUGUUAGUUGUGUUGCACAAAUCUCAAAACAAUAUUGGAGAGUUAAGAUAGAUGGGCCUGGGUGCAGAUGCUCAAAUAAUCUGCAUCCACCACGCCGGCGUUGCUCAGCCGGAAUCCGGGAGCGAUAGCGAAGCCAACGACCAUGCCUCCUGCACCGGCACCCAUGUACUCCGGGUGGAACUCGGCGCGGCGGCCGGCCUCGAAGUGGCUGGGCAGCUGGUUGUUGGAAAUAUGCCCUAGAGGCAAUAAUAAAUUGAUUAUUAUUAUAUUUCCUUGUUCAUGAUAAUCGUUUAUUAUCCAUGCUAGAAUUGUAUUGAUAGGAAACUCAGAUACAUGUGUGGAUACAUAGACAACACCAUGUCCCUAGUAAGCCUCUAGUUGACUAGCUCGUUGAUCAAUAGAUGGUUACGGUUUCCUGACCAUGGACAUUGGAUAUCGUUGAUAACGGGAUCACAUCAUUAGGAGAAUGAUGUAAUGGACAAGACCCAAUCCUAAGCCUAGCACAAGAUCAUGUAGUUCGUAUGCUAAAGCUUUUCUAAUGUCAAGUAUCAUUUCCUUAGACCAUGAGAUUGUGCAAUUCCCGGAUAUCGUAGGAGUGCUUUGGGUGUGCCAAACGUCACAACGUAACUGGGUGGCUAUAAAGAUACACUACAGGUAUCUCCGAAAGUGUCUGUUGGGUUGGCACGAAUCGAGACUGGGAUUUGUCACUCCGUGUAAACGGAGAGGUAUCUCUGGGCCCACUCGGUAGGACAUCAUCAUAAUGUGCACAAUGUGAUCAAGGAGUUGAUCACGGGAUGAUGUGUUACGGAACGAAUAAAGAGACUUGCCGGUAACGAGAUUGAACAAGGUAUCGGGAUACCGACGAUCGAAUCUCGGGCAAGUAUCGUACCGCUAGACAAAGGGAAUUGUAUACGGGAUUGAUUAAGUCAUUGACAUCGUGGUUCAUCUGAUGAGAUCAUCAUGGAACAUGUGGGAGCCAACAUGGGUAUCCAGAUCCCGUUGUUGGUUAUUAACCGGGGAGUUAUCUCGGUCAUGUCUGCAUGGUUCCCGAACCCGUAGGGUCUACACACUUAAGGUUCGAUGACGCUAGGGUUAUAGGGAAUAGAUAUACGUGGUUACUGAAUGUUGUUCGGAGUCCCGGAUGAGAUCCCGGACGUCACUAGGAGUUCCGGAAUGGUCCGGAGGUAAAGAUUUAUAUAUGGGAAGUCCUGUUUUGGUCACCGGAAAAGUUUCGGGGUUUAUCGGUAACGUACCGGGACCACCGGGAGGGUCCCGGGCUGCAUGGGCCAAGUGUGGGAGGCGACCAGCCCCAGGUGGGCUGGUGCGCCCCCCCACAAGGGCCCAAGGCGCCUAAGGGGAGGAGGGGGGGCAAACCCUAGGGCAGAUGAGCCUUAGGGCCCAUGCCUGGUGCGCCUCCCUCUCCCCCUCCACCUGGCCGCCACCCAGAUGGGAUCUGGGGGCUGCCUCCACCCCUAGGGAGGGAACCCUAGGUGGGCGCGCAGCCCCUCCCCUUCCCCUAUAUAUACUUGAGGUUUGGGCUGCCCAAGACACAUGAGUUCCUCUCCUUCUUGGCGCAGCCCUACCCCUCUCCCUCCUCGUCUCUUGCGGUGCUUGGCGAAGCCCUGCUGGAGUACCAUGCUCCUCCACCACCACCACGCCGUUGUGCUGCUGCUGGAUGGAGUCUUCCUCAACCUCUCCCUCUCUCCUUGCUGGAUCAAGGCAUGGGAGACGUCACCGGGCUGUACAUGUGUUGAACGCGGAGGUGCCGUCCGUUCGGCACUAGGAUCUCCGGUGAUUUGGAUCACGACGUGUACGACUCCUUCAACCCCGUUCUCUUGAACGCUUCCGCUUAGCGAUCUACAAGGGUAUGUAGAUGCACUCUCCUUCCCCUCGUUGCUGGUUUCUCCAUAGAUAGAUCUUGGUGACACGUAGGAAAAUUUUGAAUUUCUGCUACAUUCCCCAAUAGCGGUAUCAGAGCUAGGUCUAUGCGUAGGUUCUAUGCACGAGUAGAACACAAGUUGUUGUGAGCGUCGAUUUUGUCAAUUUGCUUGCCGUUACUAGUCUUAUCUUGAUUCGGCGGCAUCGUGGGAUGAAGCGGCCCGGACCGACCUUACACGUACUCUUACGUGAGACUGGUUCCACCGACUGACAUGCACUAGUUGCAUAAGGUGUCUAGUGGGUGUCUGUCUCUCCCACUUUAGUCGAAUCGGAUUCGAUGAAAAGGGUCCUUAUGAAGCGUAAAUAGCAAUUGGCAUAUCACGUUGCGGUUUUUCGUAGGUAAGAAACGUUCUUGCUAGAAACCCUUAGCAGCCACGUAAAACAUGCAAACAACAAUUAGAGGACGUCUAACUUGUUUUUGCAGAGUAUGCUAUGUGAUGUGAUAUGGCCAAGAAGAAUGUGAUGAAUGAUAUGUGAUGUAUGGCAUUGAUCAUGUUCUUGUAAUAGGAAUCACGACUUGCAUGUCGAUGAGUAUGACAACCGGCAGGAGCCAUAGGAGUUGUCUUUAUUUAUUGUAUGACCUGCGUGUCAUUGAACAACGCCAUGUAAUUACUUUACUUUAUUGCUAACCGGUAGCAUAGUAGUAGAAGUAAUAAGUUGGCGAGACAACUUCAUGAAGACACGAUGAUGGAGAUGAUGGUGUCAUUGUUGGGGAACGUAGCCGAAAUUCAAAAUUUUCCUACGUGUCACCAAGAUCUAUCUAUGGAGAGACCAGCAACGAGUAGAAAGGAGAGUGCAUCUACAUACCCUUGUAGAUCGCUAAGCGGAAGCGUUCAAGUGAACGGGGUUGAUGGAGUCGUACUCGUCGUGAUUCAAAUCACCGAUGAUCAAGUGCCGAACGCACGACACCUCCGCGUUCAACACACAUACAGCCCGGUGACGUCUCCCAAGCCUUGAUCCAGCAAGGAGAGAGGGAGAGGUUGAGGAAGACUCCAUCCAGCAGCAGCACAACGGCGUGGUGGUGGUGGAGGAGCGUGGCAAUCCUGCAGGGCUUCGCCAAGCACCGCGGGAGAGGAGGAGUACUUGUGAGAGGGGGAGGGCUGCGCCAGAACUUCAUCUAUAGCUCCCAUGCGCCUCCCCACUAUAUAUAGGGGUGGAGGGGCUGGUUUCUUGCCCUCCAAGUCCAUUGGGGCAUUGGCCAAGGUGGGAGGAAAGAAAUCUCAUUAUUUCCUUCCCCACCGAUUGUUAUCCCCCCUUUUUAGGGAUCUUGAUCUUAUCCCUUCGGGAUAUGAUCUUAUUCCUUCUAAGGGGGGAUCUUGGUGCGCCUUGACCAGGGGUGUGGGGCCUUGCCCCCACUACCCACGUCCAUGUGGGUCCCCCCAUGCAGGUGGGUCCCACUCCGGAACCUUCUAGAACCUUCCCGGUACAAUACUGAAAAAUCCCGAACAUUUUCCGGUGGCCAAAAUAGGACUUCCCAUAUAUAAGUCUUUACCUCCGGACCAUUUCGGAACUCCUCGUGACGUCCGGGAUCUCAUCCGGGACUCCAAACAACAUUCGGUAACCACAUACAAACUUCCUUUAUAACCCUAGCGUCAUCGAACCUUAAGUGUGUAGACCCUACGGGUUCGGGAGACAUGUAGACAUGACCGAGACGUUCUCCGGUCAAUAACCAACAGCGGGAUCUGGAUACCCAUGAUGGCUCCCACAUGUUCCACGAUGAUGUCAUCGGAUGAACCACGAUGUCAAGGACUUAAUCAAUCCCGUAUUCAAUUCCCUUUGUCUAUCGGUAUGUUACUUGCCCGAGAUUCGAUCGUCGGUAUCCAAUACCUUGUUCAAUCUCGUUACCGGCAAGUCACUUUACUCGUUCCGUAACACAUCAUCCCGUGAUCAACUCCUUGGUCACAUUGCGCAUAUGAUGAUGUCCUACCGAGUGGGCCCAGAGAUACCUCUCCGUUUACACGGAGUGACAAAUCCCAGUCUCGAUCCGCAUAAAACAAUAGAUACUUUCGGAGAUACCUGUAGUGCACCUUUAUAGUCACCCAGUUACGUUGUGACGUUUGAUACACCCAAAGCACUCCUACGGUAUCCAGGAGUUACACGCUCUCAUGGUCGAAGGAAGAGAUACUUGACAUUGGCAAAGCUCUAGCAAAUGAACUACACGAUCUUUUGUGCUAGUCUUAGGAUUGGGUCUUGUCCAUCACAUCAUUCUCCUAAUGAUGUGAUCCCGUUAUCAACGACAUCCAAUGUCCAUAGCCAGGAAACCAUGACUAUCUGUUGAUCACAACGAGCUAGUCAACUAGAGGCUCACUAGGGACAUAUUGUGGUCUAUGUAUUCACACGCGUAUUACGAUUUCCGGAUAAUACAGUUAUAGCAUGAAUAAAAGACAAUUAUCAUGAACAAGGAAAUAUAAUAAUAAUACUUUUAUUAUUGCCUCUAGGGCAUAUUUCCAACAGUCUCCCACUUGCACUAGAGUCAAUAAUCUAGUUCACAUCGCCAUGUGAUUAACACUCACAGGUCACAUUGCCAUGUGACUAAUACCCAAGAGUUUACUAGAGUCAGUAGUCUAGUUCACAUCACUAUGUGAUUAACACUCAAUGAGUUUUAUGUUUGAUCAUGUUGCUUGUGAGAGAGGUUUUAGUCAACGGGUCUGAACCUUUCAGAUCCGUGUGUGCUUUACAAAUCUCUAUGUCAUCUCCUAGAUGCAGCUACCACGCUCUAUUUGGAGCUAUUCCAAACAACCGUUCUACUUGGAGCUAUUCUAAAUUAUUGCUCCAUUAUAUGUAUCCGGUCUCUCUACUCAGAGCUAUCCGGAUAGGUGUCAAUCUUGCAUCGUCGUAACCUUUACGAUGAACUCUUUUACCACCUCCAUAAUCGAGAAAAUUCCUUAGUCCACUAGUUACUAAGGAUAACUUUGACCGCUAUCCUGUGAGCCAUUCUUGGAUCACUCUUGUACCCCUUGACUGACUCAUGGCAAGGCACACUUCAGGUGCGGUACACAGCAUAGCAUACUGAAGAGCCUACGUCUUAAGCAUAGGGGACGACCUUCGUCCUUUCUCUCUAUUCUGCCGUGGUCGAGCUUUAAGUCUUAACUUCGUACCUUACAACUCAGGCAAGAACUCCUUCUUUGACUGGUCCAUCUUGAACACCUUCAAGAUCAUGUCAAGGUAUGUGCUCAUUUGAAAGUAUUAUUAAGCAUUUUGAUCUAUCCUUAUAGAUCUUGAUGCUCAAUGUUCAAGUAGCUUAAUCCAGGCUUUCCAUUGAAAAACACUUUCAAAAUAACCCUAUAUGCUUUCCAGAAAUUCUACGUCAUUUCUGAUCAACAAUAUGUCAACAACAUAUACUCAUCACAAAUUCUAUAGUGCUCCCACUCACUUCUUUGGAAAUACAAGUUUCUCAUAAACUUUGUACAAACCCAAAUUUUUUUGAUCAUCAUCAAAGCAUACAUUCCAACUCCGAGAUGCUCACUCCAGUCCUUAGAAGGAUUGCUGGAGCUUUGCAUACUUAUUAGCAUCUUUCGGGAUUGACAAAACCUUCCGGUUGUAUCACAUACAACCUUUCCUCAUUAAAAUCGUCGAGGAAACAAUGUUUUGACAUCCUAUCUGCAAGAUUUCAUAAAUAAUGCAGUAAUCGCUAAUAUAAUUCCAACAGACUCUUAGCAUCGCUACGAGUGAGAAAAUCUCAUCGUAGUCAACUCCUUGAACUUGUCGGAAAACAUCUUAACGACAAGUCGAGCUUUCUUAAUGGUGACAUUUACCAUCAUUGUCCGUCUUCCUUUUGAAAUCCAUCUGUACUCAUUAGCCUUACGACCAUCGAGCCGUUCUGCCAAAGUCUACACUUUGUUUUCAUACAUGGAUCCUCUCUCGGAUUUUAUGGCCUCAAGCCAUUUAUCGGAAUCCGGGCCCACCAUCGCUUCUCCAUAGCUCGUAGGUUCAUUGUUGUCUAGCAACAUGACCUUCAAGACAGGAUUACGUACCACUCUGAAGUAGUACGCAUCCUUGUCAUCCUACGAGGUUUGGAAGUGACUUGAUCCGAAGUUUCAUGAUCAAUAUCAUAAGCUUCCACUUCAAUUGGUGUAGGUGCCACAGGAACAACUCCCUGUGCCCUGUCACACACUAGUUGAAGAGACGGUUCAAUAACCUCAUCAAGUCUCCACCAUCCUCCCACUCAAUUCUUUCGAGAGAAACUUUUCCUCGAGAAAGGACCCGAUUCUAGAAACAAUCCAUAUUGCUUUCGGAUCUGAAUUAGGAGGUAUACCCAACUGUUUUGGGUUUCCUAUGAAGAUGCAUUUUAUCCGCUUUGGGUUCGAGCUUAUCAACCUGAAACUUUUUCAUAUAAGCGUCGCAGCCCCAAACUUUUAAGAAACGACAACUUAGGUUUCUCUAAACCAUAAUUCAUACGGUGUCAUCUCAAUGACGCCCUCGCGCCCGUGACGCGCGCAGAGAGAGGAGAGGAGGAGGCGUUCCCCGGCGAGGCCGACCUCGUCGGCGCAGACGGCCACGCAGUGGAGGAGGUCCCUGCGAAGAGCUCCUCGACAGUGCCGGUCGGGUCGGGCCCGUGCGCCGUCGUGCGGUUGGAGCCGGGCGGUUGCUCGGCCAUGGCCUCGACCGUGCUUGGAGAGAAGCAGGGGAUAUAGGCCGUCGCGGAUUCCGACGCCGUCGACAUGGCCGUGGCUGCCAACGGCUGGGCUAGGUAGGGGCGAGGUGCGGGUCGUCCCAGAGGAGAAGGAGAGAAAAUGGGAGGAGGAUGGCGGGGUAGCGGUGGUCGCAGGCGUGCUUGUCGGCUGCGGCGAGGUCGCCGGCCCUCCGCCCAGCGCGUCGCUCCAGCGUCGCCGGCCAAGCAGCGCGGCGGAGGCCAUGAACCCGACGCCCAGCGCGCCUCUGCCCGAGGGGUGGGGGCUGAUUGCUUUUCUGUUUUAGAUCAAGGGGUGUGUGUGUCAAUUUUUUGCUCUUAUAAUCUGACCCCACUUGUCAGAAAGUGAUCAAACGGGCCAGAUCACCUCAUCGGUGCUAUUUGCAACAAGUUUACCGAAUCCGCGGUGCGUUUUGCAAAUAAUUAGGGACUAGGUACUUUUCCGCAAAGCUAACCCCAAAUGUGGUGGUUUUCUGCAAUUCACUCGGCCGCCCGCACGGUGCCCUGCUCCUGUUCGUCCUACUCCUGGCCGGCGCGGUGGCCGCCAAGACGGCGCCGUAGGAACCCACAUUGCCCUCCACAACUCCCCUUCGCCGCGUCAACCGACACUGGGGCAGCUGCGGUCGCCGGGGUGGGGGUCAAAUCCAACUCGGUGCUGGUGGCAUUGCUGGACUUGCACUACGCGGAGCUGGCGGAGCUGGUGGAGAAGGCCCUGCUGAUCCAGACGCUAGAGGACGCCGUCGGGAGGCACAACGUCACCAUCUUCGCGCCGCGGAAUAAGACGCUGGAGCGGGACCUCGACCCGGAGUUCAAGCACUUCCUGCUCGAGCCCCGGAACCUCAAGUCGGUCUAGUCGCUGCUCCUCUUCCACGUCCUCCCCUCCCGCCACCCCGCGGGGUCAUGGCCCGCGGCCCACCACCUCACCCUCUCCGGUGAGGAGAUCGAGCUCGCCAUGGGCACCAAUGGCGUCGCGCACGCCGCCAUCACGCGCCCAGACGCGGUGCUCAGGCCAGGCGGGGUUAUCCACGGCAUCAAGCGCCUUCUUGUGCGGCGGUUGAAGUCCCAGUUAGGCGAUUAAUUAAAACAGAUCUGAUCACAUGUACUCCCUCCGUUCCAAAAUACUUCCUCUGUCCCAUAAUAUAAGAACGUUUUUAACACUACACUAGUGUUAAAAACGUUCUUAUAUUAUGGAACGGAGAGAGUACUUGACUUCCAUUUGUUAAAAAAUGGAUGUAUCUACAUACUAAAACAUGUCUAGAUACAUCUAUAUUUUGACAAAUGAAAGUCAUGUGUUGUGGAACGGAGGGAGUAGAGUGGAGUGAUCUGCCAGCUAGCUAGCGUGGUUCCCCACUAAUUGAGAUGAUUGAUUACUGGUGCAGUUUCCCCGCUAGAGAUGGGAUGGAGGGGCUGUUUUUUGGGAAGUCCCAAAAAAAAAAUUUGGGAGUGAGAGGGCUUUUGGGCACGGGCUAACAACGGAGAUUUACGGGGUGCCUUAACACUAAUUAACCUCUCCUUCUUGAUUUUCAGGAAGUGGGGCCCUUCCUCUUUCUAACCCCAUUCAAACUAUGCCACAUGUGCCAGUCCGUAAACCCUGUAAAUUUCUGCCCGUGUGUGUAGCAUCGCCGAUCGGUUAGAUAGGUGUUUUUUCCUCAAACUGCUACUUUUUGGAACUUGAGUUUUUUUGGUCUUAGGACUGAAAUGAGAAUGUUGAAAAAGGAGUGAACGAAUGAGUAUCAACCCAGAUCUUCACAAGUAGAAUAUAAAAGCUGAGUGCAGAACUAAUUAAGCACAAGAGAACCCCAGCCUUUGGAUAUUGGGUUUGACGGCUACCAUCUCACAGAUGGUUGACUGUGUGACUCUAGUAAGAACUCUGAACAAACAUGGCGGAUGUGAUGGAAAAAAGAGCAAACAAACAAACCCCUCCCAUAAACCCCGACACUAAUUUGAGAUCGAGGGAGGAUGGAGACGGUCAGGUUGGGAACUUCUGAGAGGCCGGCCGGUAAGAUCUAGAUCUUCUGAGCAGCUAGCGUAACAAGUUGAGCAGCAUAACAAGUGAGAUCUAAAAUGAAUUCAAGGCAGCAAAAUCACGCAUGCGACAAGAGCAUUUGCAACUGGAAAAAAAUCUUUAUGGAAACUAAUUACCAGACGAGGCUUGCCUGCUCCGCCCAUAUGCACCGAUCCGUGCUUCCGCUCCACUCGUUUUCAAUCCAACUGCCUCGCGUAAUUUUUCCUCCCACUUGUCUAUUUUUUAGCCAAAAAUAGGAAAACCAACCCCGUAUUUCUGUUUGCCUUCUCCCUCCCGUAAUACUCGCACCGGCCGCAUUAAAUCUCGAUGGAAAUUUAUGCUAAUCUCACAAUAUAGCACGCCAACAUACAAAGGCCUGCUCGCCAAAGUUUAGACUAGCCACAAUGGAGAGUAACAUACACAUAUCCUUAGGCUAUACUACUACCUUCAUAAUGGGUAGUAACAUAAUUGUGGUGUCAUGCAAAGAUUUAUUUAUUAGGUUAUAAACUCAUAUUGCAUUGGGACAUGUGAUGUUACAGUAACUAGUUAAGGCCCUGUUUGGUUCAUAAGUCCUAGGACUUUUUUUAGUCCCAACUUAUAAGUCUCAAGUCUCUAAAAAGUCCCUAUAUGUUUGGUUUGUGGGACUUAACAUGGACUAAAAGGCCAUACUACAACUAUAAGUCCCUAUAAGUCCCUCCUUGAAAGUCUUAUUUCAUAAGUCUCAAAUGCCCACUUUAAGUCCCUAUAAGUCCCUUCUGUUUGGUUUAGAUGGGACUUAUAGAGACUUUUUUAAGUCCCUACAUCAAUAUGUCUCCGUAAACAAACAACCUCUAAGUUACUCAAACUAUCCCUCUUCGCAUUAACUAAUUGCCAUAUAAGCAAAUUUGCUGAGUUAAACUCGAUGUUACUGCUAAAGUUACUUUCACUGUGGCUAGUCUUAGAGUUCUUCCCGGCGGUCAUGGCGUUGUAUUGAAAACGGUACAUGCAUCGGAGCAUAUGGGGGGCGUUGUAUUGAAAACGGUACAUGCAUCCGAGCAUAUGGUGGGCGUUGUAACGAGGAAUCCUCCUUGAAUGAUGAAUCCACUCGUUUUCAAUCCACCGUUGUAAUGAUAAAUCUUGUCUCGUAUGGUACAUGCAUCCCUCCGUCCACAAGUACUUCCCUGCGGUCAACGUUGGGGAGGUAGAGCCAGGUGGUCGUGCUCGGCAUCGCCGACGCCCACGGUCGGCCGUGCCGAGGACGCCGUCUCCUACAACCUCACCCCACCACUGUCCACAGUCGUUUUUCUUGAUUUCUUGCGCCAUGGCGUGCAGCACUCGAGAAGACCAGAAGCUCCGCUCAGCGUGCAGCAUCGGCGAAGCUCAGCACGGUGUCGACCUCACACUCAAUCGAGGUGCUCAUCAACGACGUGUUGCGCGUCCCUCGGGGUGUGCGUUCGGUUAAUACGGUUAUUCGGGUUACGAAUAAAUACGGUAUGAAAUACCAGUACGGUUUGGUUUCGAUAAAUUCCAAAGUACUCCCUCCGUUUUAAAAUAGAUAACUUAAUUUUGUACUAACUUUAAUACAAAGUUAGUAUAAUCAACGUGUGGUUGAGUUGGUUAGGUGGACAGUGGUAUCCCCAACCCACCAGGGCUCAAAUCCUGGUGCUCGCAUUAUUCCUGGAUUUAUUUCAGGAUUUCCGGCGAUGCGCUUUCAGUGGGAGGAGACGUUUCCGUCGACGACGAGGCGCCUACGGUGACUUCGUAAGUCUCAAGAUGAAAUGCCGGCUCAGUCUCUCGGAGGUGCUCAUAGGGGUAGGGUAUGCGUGUGUGCGUUCAUAGGGAUGAGUGUAUGCGCGUGUAUAUGAGCGCUUGUGUCUGUACUGAUGCUUAAAAAAAGUUGGGUCAUUUAUUUUGGAACGGAGGGAGUAUUACCCAUGGGAAUUUUACAUUCAUAUGCGUAAAUGGUUAUCUCUCCAGCUAGCGGGUUGCAAGAUUGAUCACAUUGCACAAUUUGCACAUGCAUUGCAUCCAUUCAUGCAUAUGCCCCUCCUUCAUGGAUUGAUGGUACAUGCAUGUGCAAAUCAAAUUAUGUACUCAUUCGCAAAAGAAAAAUCAAAUCAAAUUGUGUGCUAUGGCGUGCGCGUGUUGAGCAGUACGUAGUAGAUGAACCUGAUCGAUUGCUUUUUGCGCUCGAUCGGGGGCAAAAAAAAAAAAAGGAAUUGCGACUUAGCUGUUUGCGUACGCAAGUAGUGGCUUGCGCGCUAGACGGAAUCGAUCCAAACUGAUUGACCACGUCUCACGCUCGAUGGUUCGUUCCCGGCAGGUAGGAUCGGCGAUGGUAAAUUGUGGUGGUCAUGGUAGAGUUGCCGAGUAUCUCCGUUCCAAAAUAUAAGGACGUUUUUUACACUAGCACGUUCUCUCUUCAUCCCAAAAUAUAAGAACGUUUGGGAGUGGUUUUUAGGUCUCUAUCCCAUGGUAAACCGGGGGUUGGAUGGUAAAGGGGUGGAGUAUUACAUUGUGGGGGCCACGUUCAUCCUCACACACGGAGGAUGCUGCAUGCAGGAAAUUAAUGGAGUUCAUUUGCAAAUGCAUCCACGCACGAGUAAUAAGUAACAGAUAAUGUGGGCAAGCAAUAUGCGGAAUCUGAUGUAACAAACUGUUGUUACAAAGCCAUAAUAUACACAAGGGUAUAUACGUACAUGAGGGCGCUCCUGCUGCCGGACUCGAAGAAUGGCGGAGAUCUGCCUGCCUGGGAUUCGCAAAGGAGGUGUGGAUGGAUGCAGGGGCAGAUGCAUGCAUGUGUGGAGGUGUUGAUGCGUAGGAGGGGGGAGAGCUGUGUGCUUGCCCUCGUCUGAAAAAGAAACUGUGGAGAUCGAUAUGAUCAGCAGCGGCAAGGAAUGAAGGAAACUCUUCCUGACCUGCAGGCAAAGAAAGCAUCCUGCAGCUAGCCCGCUCCCUGCGCCAAAGAACAGUUCUGCAUCACCAGUGGCUGGCCAGUGGGGUCUUCGUUUACUUGCCGCUGGGUCUUCGUUCCAAUACAAACAUCAUUGCUUGAAGCAAGCAUCACCAGUGGGCCUCAGAUCUCGCGCUGAUAGCAGCAGCGGAUUUGAAAAAAAAAGCGUGGAUCAUGGCACUAGAGCGGUGACAUGGAACACACUGUAGCUUGUAAUAGAAAAUGUCCAAGUAGAACAUAGGAGAAUGCCACUCGCGUUUGGUGGCGCACACUUAUGUUUGAUAAUCUCUUGGAUUUUUUAUGUGGCGUGUGAAUUGAAGACAAGUGAGGUUCAUUAUCUUGGAAGAGAUAAAUGAUGACACUACUUGCCAGUCACUUAAUUUCUCGUGGUUUGGUUUGUGAAAUCUUUCGUGCUUGUAGAAAAGAAAGAGGGGAAGAAACAUUCCUUCGAUCCAGCCGGCCGGCCGCAGCGCCGCCGAUUCCACCCGUCAACGACGCCCAGAGCUCGCAGAGCACAACCGUCGCUCGCCGCCGGCCAAUCACCCGUUCGCCGCUGCCGCGUCUCCCAACCGCUCGUCGUCGUGCGGGCACGAUUGAAAAGCACGAGGAAAAAAAAUGAGGUGACAGGUACCAAAACCCAUGAAUAGAAACCGUCACGGUAAAUUGAGAAAAUAAAAUUACGACGCUGGACCAGUCACACCAACAGGUCCGAUAGAGCCAACCGGCAACCAGGCGGUCACUAGUCCGACCCGAGUGCAGAAUUUGUUAUUCUACACCUAUAUACAUAGGGAAACAACUGUUCUCGGCCGGCUGAUAAUCACAAUGCGUCCACCAUCUCCGUUGCGUGCCGCUGAUAAUCACAAUGCGUCCACCAUCUCCGUUGCGUGCCGCUGAUAAUCACAAUGCGUCCACCAUCCCCGUUGCGUGCCGCUGAUAAUCACAAUGCGUCCACCAUCUCCGUUGCGUGCCACGCGUCCUCAGCAUACAGGCAAGUGCAAGCACCUAUUUCAACAACAAUAGUGUUGUUGUAAAUCUUGGCGGGAACGACCACUGUGAUGUGAUGCGGCUUUGUUUUGAAGAAAUAUAGUCUUGCAACAAGUCCUUUAUUGCAAAAAAUAAAAUCCGCAACAAGACGUUGCUGCAGAAAAACUCUAAAAGAAAAAAAUCUGCAGCAAGAUGUCUAUUGCAAAGAAACCCGCAACAAGACGUAUGUUGCUGAAAAUUCUGCAACAAGAUGUCUGUUGCAAGAAAUUUUCGCAAUAAAGAAUGUGUUGCAAUGGUGGAUGGUAACAUUCGGCCACUCGAUGCGUCAAUCCAACAGCUCGCAUCCGGCCAAUCUUUUAAAAAGAUCAGCCGGCGGACGCGUAGCGCGCCCCAUAUACAUACGUUUGUUUUGUCAUUUGUUACUGGCUUUUCGUAAAAGAGCUUAAAACAGAAAAAACACGAGACAUACAUGUCUUUGUACGAGAGUAUUAUCUUUACUGGAGUACUAGUAGAAUGCCCGUGCGUUGUUACGGGCUACAAUACAUAUAAAUAAAUUAUAGAGAUAACUAAGGUGGUUUCCAAGGUCAAAUCUUAUUUCUUCCUCAUACGUCUUAGCUAGACUAUGUAGGGGAAAUGUAAUUGUUGUCGCUUAUCUUCAAUAGGCAAGCCUAACAGAAAAACCCCACCCUACAAUGCACCUUCCUUUUGCCUGUCGGACCCUUCCCUUCUCCCUCCCCUCCCCGCUCAGUUUUCCGCUGGAGCCCUCUCCUUUAAAACCUGAUGAUGCCCACCUCACCUUCCCCAUGGCACCCUCUUUCCUUCAGACCGUACUUCCCCACGGACCGCCAAUGAGGACUCCCCCGCCAAGUGCCCUGCUUUCCGCCCUGAUCCCUUCCCCACGUGUUUGUGCUGGUUCGCCACCGCAAUAAGGGGGAGGAGGCGUGCGUCGCCCAUGACGCCCUCGAGCCAGGAAGGCAGAUACAAUGUCUCUUAAGUUGAAUAUUAUGCAUUACCACGAAACUAAAAUAUGAUGUCCAUUGUUGGGCAUGUAACUGAUACGCCACCGUGUUCGUUAUUAACUCUUAAAGCAAUCAAUGCAUGUACCCUUCUAUCAUAACCACAAAAUUAUAACUCGGUGAAAAAAAUGUGAACCACUCGCUCAUGAAAUAUGUUGCAAAGCUCGAAUGAAAUGUAAUUUGCCACAUUUUCUAAAGUUGGAAAAUUAUUCCGCUCAAAUAUACGGAAGUGAGCAGACCAACCAUAACCCCUAUCCUGAACAGACCCCCAUCUUGUACAGAUGUAACGUGACAGGUGAGCCCAAGGUUUUAGUACGUGGAGGUGAGCCCAAGGUUUUUUUAGUAUGAGCCAAAUGUUUUAGUAUAUACUUGUAGUCAAGCCCGUGCGUUGCAACGGGAGAAAAAUAAUAUGGUACACCCCUAUCCUGAAGCAUGGCUCAGAACCCACCACAACUUCACUUCCUCUAUUUGAACAUGGCACUCCAUUUAGAAAUGGUAGAUAGUUCAAAAUUAUUCAGCCCAUAUACUAUCUUGUUAAUUCCUGUAAAAAUAGAUUAAGAGGUUAAUUAAUUAGUCAACCCUUUGAAUAGUAAUGCUCACCUUUUGUGAUAUUUGGAUUGGAUAGUGAGCUUCAGAAACUCACCUCAUCUCCCCUUCUUCCUAACGUAUACCCCCUUCGCUAGUCUCAUGAAGACGAGAUCUCUGAAGAAUCAACAUAGUACCUGUAGAAAGAAAAUAGUUAUGUACCAGUAGGAAGCAACCCUAUGCAUGUCCUCACUCUCAUAUGCCCGUGCGUUGCAACGGGAAAAAACAAAUCAUCGCAUGUUCCAAGUGACCCAUCGGUGUUACCACUCUCUUUGCCAUCGUGGUCAUGUUGUCCAUCUAUUCAUGACGAACACGAUCAAUCUCAGGUAAUGAGCCUGAUCGUCACACUCUAGCACACACCUUUAGCAAUCCCAUCAUGUGCCUCGCAACAGAAAAAAUUAUCCCUACUCCCUCCUACCAGAACAGAACACAUCUAAAUUGAUGCCUACAAAAUUGUUAUAGUACAAAGCAAGCCAAAUUUGCCAUGCCUCUAUGCUAGCAAUUUUUUGGUUAAAUUGAAAAAUAAUAUAAAUUUAUUUUUAAGCUACCAAAACUUUGAUUAGCUGUUAUGUAGCGACCAGACCUCAGACGGUCCAAUCUCUGUGCUCAGGUGUCAUCCCUGGAUCAGUAAUGCUGACACCACACAGUACUUGAAGUAUUUAUAAUAGAGUAGCAAUCACACACUUAUUACAUCGUACGUCUCAAAAGAGAACUUAUUACAAUAAUAUGGCUUAAGGCCAUCUAAUUCUAUAACAGCGGAAGGCUUGGAAGAUAAAGUGAGUCCAUCAACUCCAACGGCAUAGUUGAGCUGGACGGCAAUGACCUAACGAACCUUACUCCUCGUCUGAAAAGUCUGCAACAUAAUACGUUGCAGCCCGAAAACGGGUCAGCACAUGAAAUAUGCUGGUAAUAUAACACAGUAGAGCAAGAAUAGAAUAAUUCUAUCACUAAAUGCAUAUAUGGCUGGUGGAAAGCUGUAUGGUUAUAGUUUUUGCGAAAAGCCAAUUUUUCCCUACAACAAAGGAAUAGACUUUAAUUUAACUAUCAUGGUGGUUGAAACAUCAUUGAGAAGGUACCCCCAACUCAAUCCUAAUUAAAGUAAUUAACAACCCAACAAUAUUAAUUAAACAUGGUGAGAUACAUGCGAUAACUCAAGCACUAGAUACUCAAGAAUUGUCCAUAACCGGGGACACGGCUAACCAUGAUUAGAUUGUACACUCUGCAGAGGUUUGCGCACUUUUCCCCACAAGACUCGAUCGCCUCCGUUGGAUUUCUCGCACUACAUGGUGUUUGAGAAACGGAUGACCGAGACACAGUCUUUCAGAAACAUUAACUCUCUACUCCGAGUAGACCAUACCAAACCUACAAAACCCACUAUGUAACACCCCGGAUACGAUUUUCCCAAUAUGUACUCCAACUCUUGCCAUUUCCGGCGUUAAGUUAUUUUAUUUUCUCGGGUUCGGGUUUUUGUCUCCGUGUGUUGUUAUCGUUGUCAUGCAUCUCAUAUCAUGUCAUCAUGUGCAUUGCAUUUGAAUACGUGUUCAUCUCAUGCAUUCGAGCUUUUUCCCCGUUGUCCGUUUUGCAUUCCGGCGCUCCGUUCUCCUCCGGUGGUCAUUUCUACCUUUCUUUCGUGUGUGGGGAUUAAACAUUUCCGGAUUGGACCGAGACUUGCCAAGCGGCCUUGGUUUACUACCGGUAGACCGCCUGUCAAGUUUCAUACCAUUUGGACUUCGUUUGAUGCUCCAACGGUUAACCGAGGGACCGAAAAGGCCUCGCGUGUGUUUCAGCCCAACACCCCUCCAAGUAGGCCCAAAACCCAGAAAAAACCCUCUCCAUCAUCUAGAGCGUUCGAUCACAAUCGCGUGGCCGAAAACCGCACCUCAUUUGGACACUCCUAGCUCCCUCUACCUCUAUAUAAAGACCACCCUCCGAAAUUCGCGGUUCCAUUCCCCCCUAACCCUAGAUCCAUCCGCCCCCGCCGCCGGACACGUCCGACCCCCACCGGACAAAAACGCCGCCGCCAACCGGGGUGCGCCACGUGGCAGCGGGCGCCCCACUUCACCGCCGCCACCGACGCGGGCCCGAAGGCCCAGCACCGGCCCUCCCCGUCGCCCGACCNNNNNNNNNNNNNNNNNNNNNNNNNNNNNNNNNNNNNNNNNNNNNNNNNNNNNNNNNNNNNNNNNNNNNNNNNNNNNNNNNNNNNNNNNNNNNNNNNNNNNNNNNNNNNNNNNNNNNNNNNNNNNNNNNNNNNNNNNNNNNNNNNNNNNNNNNNNNNNNNNNNNNNNNNNNNNNNNNNNNNNNNNNNNNNNNNNNNNNNNNNNNNNNNNNNNNNNNNNNNNNNNNNNNNNNNNNNNNNNNNNNNNNNNNNNNNNNNNNNNNNNNNNNNNNNNNNNNNNNNNNNNNNNNNNNNNNNNNNNNNNNNNNNNNNNNNNNNNNNNNNNNNNNNNNNNNNNNNNNNNNNNNNNNNNNNNNNNNNNNNNNNNNNNNNNNNNNNNNNNNNNNNNNNNNNNNNNNNNNNNNNNNNNNNNNNNNNNNNNNNNNNNNNNNNNNNNNNNNNNNNNNNNNNNNNNNNNNNNNNNNNNNNNNNNNNNNNNNNNNNNNNNNNNNNNNNNNNNNNNNNNNNNNNNNNNNNNNNNNNNNNNNNNNNNNNNNNNNNNNNNNNNNNNNNNNNNNCCGACGCUGCCUGUCGCCGCCUCCCCGAGGCCUCGCCGCCGCCGACGCGCCUCCUCCACGCCGGCCAAGGCCCCGGCGAGCAGCGCCCCACUCCGGCCACCCUCGCCCCGGCCUUCUUCCCCGACGAACUCCGGCGAGCUUCAAGUCCCUCUCCGGUGAACCUCGUAACCCGUGCGGCCAGAUCUGGAUCCAGAUCCAAAAUCUCGGUUGACUUUUGCCUCAAACCCUAAAUAUUUUGCCCCUGUUCAUCAUGCCGUAACUCCUCAUCCGUAGCUUCGUUUUGGGCAUAUAGCAUAUCAAAAUGUUCGCCUCAGAGAGCACAUCAUUUCAUCUCAUUGCAUCAUUUUCAUUUGAGUUCAUCUUGAUGCCCGAAAUGCUGUUAGAAGAAUGCUAUUUGAGAUAAUUGUCAGAUCUGCUGCUCCAUUUAGAUAAUUGUCAUUUUUGCCAUGAUUAUUGUGUGCAUGAUAUGCCCCUGAGCUCUACAUGUGUUUUGUUACAUGUUUUGCCAUCUAUCCAGAGGUGCAACCCAUGUAUUUUUGUGAUGUGUGUGGUGACUAGCACAAGCUUGCAAAGUGGAGCAUUCGUUAAUCCUGAUUUCAGGGACUUAGCAUUUCCACUAAGUCCUUGGACUGUUUAUCUCAAUAUGCCAUAUGUUCGUGUUGUUUCCUAGUGAUCCGUGCCUCUUUUGAGGAUGAUCAGUAAGGAUGUUUUGUUAAUCUUGUAGUGCUCUAUCCAUCCAUGUCUUUGUUUGCAAUUAUGGAGCACCCUAGCUUGAGUCAAUCGAGCUCUACUUUUGUCAUUUCGAGAAUCUGGGCAGAUUGUCUACUUGUUAGCAAUUUUGCCGAGGAUGUUGUAGUUGAUCCAUGCAUACUAUGUUAUUGCUCUUGCCAUAUCUAGCUUGUAUUUUGUGUAUUCUUGAUGGGUGUAUGCUUAGAUUGUCAUGACAUGAUCUGUAGUGAGUGCAUCGAGCUCGUAAACAUGCCUACUUGAUAUCUGUUUCAGCAUGCUCCAGUUUUCACUAAGUCUAAGAACUGAUUAUGUUUUUGUCAUGUUCACAUGCUUGCAAAUGUAUUUUCUGAUCCCUUUUGGCUCAAGGUCACUAAGGGACUUUUGUUAAGCUCUUUGAGUAGCUCCAUGCCAUGCUUUACUUUGUCAUGUUCAGGUCCAGUAGCAUAUAGUUUUCAUGCUCCAAAGUGGGCUACCUGAUAUGAAAUUCCAGACAAGUGUUGAUUUCACUAAGUCUGAAAUCUGUUUACCAAAUGCAUUUUUGCCAUGCUUGUUUGAACCUGUUAAUGGAUGAAUUGGCCGUAGCUCAGUGCUAGUCUUUUGUUAAGCAUCAUGAAUGGAUCCCUGCCAUGUAAUUUGUUGUCAUGUUUGGGUGCUGUAGCAUGUUCAUCUUGUUGCAUUUAGUUGGCUACUUGCUGUAAAUCGCAGAACGUGGUCAUAUUCGAAUUGCUUGCCAUUCCCAAACCGUAACUCCGAUUCCGGCGUUCUUUAUAUCGCUUUCAAGCGAUUUCAUCUCACCUUUCUAGUGGCACACUUGGAUUUCCAAGCUGAGGCCAGGUUCAUGCAUUCCUUGUCAAAUCUUGCAUAUGCAUCACAUAUUGCAUCCUGCAUAGCAUACCAUCUUUGCAUCAUGUUGUUUGAGUUUGCACGUGGUUGAUUGUGUCCUUGUUGCUUGUUUGUCUUGUUUGGGUAGAGCCGGGAGAUGAGUUCGCUAACGAGGAGCCCGUUGAGUUUGCUUUCGAGGAUCCAGUCAACUCUGACAACUUUGCAGGCAAGAUGAUCAUACCCUCGAAAUCACUACUAUCUUUGCUUUGCUAGAUGCUCGCUCUUUUGCUAUGCCUAUGCUACGAUGCCUACCACUUGCUUAUCAUGCCUCCCAAAUUGCCAUGUCAAACCUCUAACCCACCAUGUCCUAGCAAACCGUUGAUUGGCUAUGUUACCGCUUUGCUCAGCCCCUCUUAAAGCGUUGCUAGUUGCAGGUGAAGAUUGGAGACCGUUCCUUGUUGGAACAUUAUUUACUUGUUGGGAUAUCAUUAUAUUGCCUUGUUAUCUUAAUGCAUCUAUAUACUUGGUAAAGGGUGGAAGGCUCGGCCUCUCGCCUAGUGUUUUGUUCCACUCUUGCCGCCCUAGUUUCCGUCAUAUCAGUGUUAUGUUCCCGGAUUUUGCGUUCCUUACGCAGUUGGGUGAUAAUGGGAACCCCUUGAUAGUUCGCCUUGAUUAAAGCUUUUCCAGCAAUGCCCAACCUUGGUUUUACCAUUUACCACCUAGCCUCUUUUUCCCUUGGGUUUCCGGAGCCCGAGGGUCAUCUUAUUUAAACCCCCCCGGGCCAGUGCUCCUCUGAGUGUUGGUCCGAACCAGGCAGCCUGCGGGGCCACCUCGGGGAAACUCGAGGGCUGGUUCUACUCGUAGCUUGACCUAUCUGAGUGUGCCCUGAGAACGAGUUAUGUGCAGCUCCUAUCGGGAUUUGUCGGCACAUUUGGGCGGUGUUGCUGGAUUUGUUUUAAUUUGUCGAAGUGUCUUGUAGAACCGGGAUACCGAGUCUGAUCGGAAUGUCUCGGGAGAAGGUCUAUUCCUUCGUUGACCGUGAGAGCUUGUCAUGGGCUAAGUUGGGACUCCCCUGCAGGGAUUUGAACUUUCGAAAGACGUGCCCGCGGUUAUGGGCAGAUGGGAAUUUGUUAAUGUCUGGUUGUAGAUAACUUGAACCUUAACUUAAUUAAUAUGAAUCAUCAGUGUGAGUUACUAUGAUGGUCUCUUCUCGGCGGAGUCCGGGAAGUGAACACAGUGUUGGAGUAAUGCUUGCCGCAGGAUGUUCUCUAGUUAUUCGUUCGCGCUUUGCCUCCUCUUCUCGCCUCUUUUGCGAACAGGAUAGCCACCAUAUAUGCUAGUCGCUUGCUGCAGCUCCACAUAUUUUACCUUGCCUUUACCUAUAAGCUUAAAUAGUCUUGAUCGUGAGGGUGCGAGAUUGCUGAGUCCCUGUGGCUCACAGAUUACUUCCAAACCAGAUGCAGGGCCUGAUGACUCCGUUCCAUAUGACGCGCUUGAGCUCAAGUGGGAGUUCGACGAGGACUCACGUCGUUACUACAUGUCUUUCCCUGAUGAUCAAUAGUGGUGCCCAGUCGGGGUGAUCGGGACCGUGUCGCAUGUUGGGUUAUCUUUCAUUUUGGCGCCGUAGUCGGGCCAUGAGUGUUUGAUUGUUGUAAUGCUAUUUAUGUACUUUGAUUGACGUGGUGAGUGUAAGACAACUAUGUAUCUCCCCUUUUAUUAUCUAUACUACAUGGGAUGUUGUGAAGAUUGCCUAACCUGCAACAUUGCUUUCAAUGCGGUUAUGCCUCUAAGUCGUGCCUCGACACGUGGGAGCUAUAGCCGCAUCGAGGGCGUUACACACUACCUACUGAUCUACCUGUUCAAGAGCUUCACGUAACCUACUCAACUAUGCUAGAGCCCAUAAUAGCUUGUGGCUGCACACGGAAGUUUCUAGCAUGAAUCAUCUCAGUUCCGUUUGAGCCUGGGUGGCGGUCCAUAGGAAGAUCACAUGGGUACCCCGGGAUUUCCAAAAAAACAGACAACACUGGGUUCCCCAGGUGCCUCAAUCCACCCAGUUGUUUGAUUAAGUUGCCACCUUAAGUUGAACCAUUAAUUAAGAAUCUCACAACUGUCAUGGAUUUCACUCAAACCCGAACCACGUCUACGAGCAUAGCAUGGCAAUAUAAGCAAUACGUAGAGGUAACUCCCAAGUGUUUGAAUAUAACAGGACAAUAGGUUCUACCUCAGCAACUACUUCCCAACCCACAAGUUAAUGACAUCCUAAUCAUGCAAUGUUUGAGGAUUGGAACUAAUGCACAAAAACUGGGUUUGGAAAGAGUAUGAUCAAUGUGUUACUUGCCUUGCUGACGAUCCGCGAAUCCUAGAGACUCGUAGUAACACGCUUCACACUCUGGGAAUUCCAUCGCAAGCAAACAAUAACAUACAUAAGUAACAAGCAAUGAUGCACAAGCAAAACUCAAACAAGAGAGGUUGACCAGAAAGUUCGACUUAAGAAUUCUGGUUUGCAAAAGAAUCAAAUCGAACAAAGCAACAAAACUCAACCAGCGAACGAAAGAAACUUCGUUUACUAAUCUGAACUUAGGUCAAAUUUUACAGUAGCAAAAACUUGUUUGAGUUGAUUAACCGGAAAGAGGGUUUCGAGACGAAACUCCACGCGCUUGAAUCGCCUGAUUCCGAUAAACAAGCGAAAAGAUAAACAGAAACUAAGAUCGCAUCCGAAAUCGCGAUCAGAAAAACCGCGGAAUAAAUCCGAGAAAAAGGAAAAACGAAGAACAGGUUAACAAAGUAUUCUAUGGUUUGGUAGAUUAAUUACCUCCAUUCCAUAUGUAUCUCCUAGUACACGAAGCCACUGAUUGACUUGUUCAAGAAACACGGAGUCUGUUCUAAGGGUAAUCCUUUGGACUUCCACGCGUGGAGACAUCAAUAUCCUUGAUGAUGGUUCCCCACCUGAACUCGGUAGUGCUUUAUUGUAAGACUACUCUGUGGUCAUGCUUGUCUUGGACAACAUGUUCACAUGUAUGUAGCAGAACUAGCUCAUGUUUUGGAGCUUGCUAUCAUAGUUCACCUCCCGAGAGUCUCGCAAUGUUAUCUCGUCGACUUGUGUUGCAACCUUUCUUUUCUAGACAUGUUGUAUGAAAAAUCCUGUUACCAGCCAGAUCUGAAUCUCAGGCAGAUAUGAUGGCUGGAACAUUUCCAAGAUCUAUGAUGUAGGCCCCGACGAGGUUGAUAUUUUGGCCGACACACCUAGCCGGAAGAUCUAUUAUUAUAGUAUCUUGAACGAGCAAUUCGACCAUCUUCUCCAUGAGGAUUUGGUAUGACUUUUUCCACAAGUUGUUCCUUAUGGAUUCUUGUGCUCCCAAAGUCCGACCUUUUACUUGAUGUUCUAGAUACCAAACCAUAUCAAUAAAUGGGUUACGCUAGCACAUCAAGGAGAACAUUAGAAGCGGAGUGCUCAAUGUCUCUCGGUCGAUCAUCCAGAUUUUUACUUGGCCUCGCUAAGGUGAAAUCUGGGAAGGUGUUAUCUUCCUUUGCGUCUGCAUCGUCCAUCACUAUUCAUCAUGGUAGUAUGAUGUGUCGCUAGGAUCCUCGACAUGGAUGUUGGU